UUAAGAUUACUGGAAACAGUAUGAUAAAAGGCGGGAUGCACUACAUUGAGGUGAAGAAGCUGCUUCUGCUGUCAUAUUGCCAGGCUAUAUCUUUCUACCUUAUUCUCAAAUCUGAGGGGCAGCCGGUGCAUGAUCAUCCAGUCAUUUCACGCCUUGUGGAGAUAAAAAAUCUGUUGAAUAAGGUUACAACUCAUAUCACAGGAUUCAAACAACAAAACAUGGCCAAAUACUGCUUGCCAGUUUUUGUUAAUUCUGUUAAUGAUGACAUUGUUUGCUGGAAAAUCAGUCACUUGUUUAUGUGGUAUAUGCAUAAUUGAUGAGAUAAAACUGCUUUAUCUAAUCUUUGGGAUAUAUGCCAAGCAAAUUGUGUUCACAUACACAUCUUGAAAACAUUUAUUUGCUGGCCACCUCUAAUGGUAAUCAGCAGACUUUUAAUAUAAAUGUACUACCAUUAGCUGUUAAAAAUGGAAAAGGUUAACACAAACCAUAAUUAGUGCAGUUUUUUUGCUCAUGGAGAAAGCUAGAGGACACUAUAUUAUCUCGUUGAUCUUAUAAAAUAUAUCUAUAUGUUUGAUAAGGUUUCAAUUCUUUAACUCACCCUCCUUGUAGAAGUCUAUGCUACUCUGUCUGCAUAUGGUUUGUUUCUUCUUUAGUUUAAUGUAAAAAGUAUCUUAGUGCAAAUCUGAACUUGCUUAUUCAUCCAUCAUCAGCUUCUUCCUCCCUUUCCCUUUUCUAUAUGGAGCUUGAUGAAGCCGAAUCCAACAUCAAAGUGCUUUUUCAUUAUUGAGUUUAGCAGCGUGGUAUCUUUAAGUGUAAAUUGCAUCACCCAGAUAAGGUUUAUUAUGUUUUUUCAUGAUAUGUUUUUUCAAUUCUACACGUUUGUGUAAAUAAGCAAACAACCUUUUUUUGAUGGUGUUUGGGAAAUACCUACAAGAUCAAGCCUUCUAUACAGUAAUUGCUUAAUCAUCUAUACAUCCUGGAUAUUAUGUAUGUACCAAAUACCUAUCGAUCAUCAAUCAACAACACCUCAAUUCUAAUCUAGUUGAGGGCUUAUGGUCUAGUUAUGAAUUCUUUGUACUGAUUCUGCUCUAUUGGGUCCCUUUCAUUCCCAAUCAUACAAAAAAUAGAACCUCAAUCUGCAGUUCAAACAACUCUUUUCCACUACAUUAGAAGCUCUAUGAUGUCUUUCUCACUUUGUGUCCCCCAUGACUAACUCCACACAUACCUGCACACCUUGUCUACUUCAUUAACCACUAGGCCAAACCCUUCGGUGCCUCUUGCAUAUUUAUUCCAAGUGAAUACCCCAUAAAAGUAUUCUCCAUCCUCCUCCUUAAUUUGUUUGAUAAAUAUAUCUGUCUAGCAUAGCUAAACUCAUUUGUCAAAUAAGUUAAAUACGUGGAUUUCCGUGGAAGGAUUAUGUAAUUUUUUAAUCAAGUUUUCUUGAGUCUUAGAGAAUUUGAAGUGGAAAUAGUAUGCUAACUGAUCAUAACCUAAUGUAUCAAAUUUGUUAAUCACAUGUACUGAUUAAACAUUUUUAGCUUGUUUAGAUGCUUAGUGAUGUUGUGAAAUAGUUGCUAAGUCCUCUCCUUGUUCUUCUGCUUUAUUUGAUUCUUGGCUAGCUUCAUUGCGUAUACCCUGCUUCUCUCUUCCUAUCUUUAUAGGUGUUAACAAAUUUAUUUUUGCAGAUGACAGAACUUGAUGGAUAUCUCCCUUCUAAACUAGAAGACUUGUUACACAAGAAUGUUGAUAAUGUAACUGGUGUAAAGUUGUUGGGAAGGAACUUGGAUUCUGAAUCUUUCCCCAUUUCUGACAAGCCUUCUGUGGUAUCAACUGAUAUUCAAGAAGCAGAGGUAAUUUUCAGUUUGAUUUAUCUUAUUUGUUGCUAAAAGCGUAAUUUUUCCCUUCUUUUAUGGGCUGAUUUUGAAUUAAAACCUUUUGACGUUUUUACUGAGCAGCUCUGUAAAAUUUAUGUAAUUUUUUCUAUUGUUUUAGCCUCAUGAAGCUGAGCUGGCGGAGGCAAGUGGUGUAAAUAGUCUACGGAAAAAGGAAUCAAAACGCAAACGCCAGGUAAAUGGUGUAUAUAUCUAAGCACCACCUCUGUUUUGCUUAUCAGCCAUCAGCAGGCGAGUCCACUGUCACUGUUACAAUACGAAUCAAGUGUCACCUGACUAGUGCCAGUGCCAGUGUCAUUGUCAUUUUUAUUCUGGCAACUCUUUCACCCAUGUUCUGAUGUGUUGCAAGAUCACCAGAUCUCUUCUUUUUUAACCAGUAAGAUGUAGAUCAAAUUAACUAAUAUUAAAGAAUUUUGGCAGGAUGAUCAAGUUGGUAUCCAGAGCAUGGAAAUGUUAAAAGUGAGAGCUUCCCUUGAGGAAAAAUUGAAGCAGACAGGUGUUUUAAGUUCCAUUGCACGGAAAAAUGAAAAACGAAACAAGCGCUCACGACUUCUGAAUGGGUAUCAAUUUGCUUCACAAAUUAUUUCUCCAUCUACCUCUUAUGUUAGUCAACGUAAAUUAAUGCAAACAUGUCACUAAUGGGAAGUCUAAUGAAUUAUAUGCAGGAUGUUGGCAACUCCUGAUGAUUUUGAUGAUGAUUCCAUGGCUGCUGGAGAUGAUCGUGAGACACGAAGUUUAAACAAGCUGUCUAGGCUUCUAACUCCUCAAGUAGCAAGACCCAAGGUGUGGAUCACAACUGCUUUAAUUCUGUCUCCAUUUUGUUGAUUUUCUUGUAAAUAAAUAUCCCAUGUCUUUUAUGUGAGUGUAUGCAACUCCAUUGAGUUAUGAUUCUCUGAACUUGUGGAAUGUGACAGUCUUUUCAACUUCUGUCUCUGUGGAUGGCUCUCUUUCGCUAUAGGGUUGCCCUGCCCCCUUUUUCUUUAUCGUGGUCGCUCUAAUAUUUUUCCCUUAUUCCUUCUUGCUUCUCUUAUAGCAAUUCCCAAGUACAUGAAAAAAAUAAAUAAGGGGAAUCUUCUUUGACCUUGAUAUUUAUAAAUGGACAAUUGAUUUGUGACGGAGCAGUAUAUCUUUGCACAUAUUUUCAAGAAGUUGCAUCUUUAGAUGUUGCAAUUGAAUGAGGUCAUAAUUUAUGUUAUUUGAGUCGUAUUCAGUGUUUUGACUGGAUGCUAUUGUGAAGUUUUUAGUUCUCCAGUGUGCUUAUCAGAGUGACUACAACUGUGUUUCUAGUUUCUACUGUUUGAUGUCACAGUUCUCAAAUUUGUGGCAAUUAGGAUUAUUUUGAAGCCUUCAUGUUGUUGGCACAUGUUGCGUUUAGCUGCUCUUCAUUUCCGAGUUCCAAAUUAUUUUUUUGAUCAAGCAAGUUAUCACUGAUAAUAACAAGGCCAACUUGGCUGUAUACACGAGAUAUACCAAAAAAGUGGAAACCUACAAAAUAUGGUUCUCUCCAAAAGACACCAAUCUUCUAUACAAAUAAAAACUACAUGGGUGCACCAAAAGAGAAUAAGGGAUUGGAGACUACUUCUCAAUUGAGCAAAGCUCAUCCACACCCCUUCAAAAGCUCUCCUAUUUCAAUCUUUCCAAAUGCUUAGAGCUACUGAGUAACAUUCCACGCCUUGUGCCUUCUUUCUCCCAGCUCCUCACAGAUCUUGGCAUUACCUAAGUGACACCAAAUCAUGUAAACAUAUCCUCCCAUAACCUAGUGGCUAAUUUGCAAUGUAACAAAAUACGAUCCACGUCCUCACCAGCAUCCUUACAUAAGAAACACCAGCUCAUGUGGACAACCUUUCGCUUUCUAAGUUUCUGUUCUGUCAAAAUCACCCCUCACAAAUAUCUGUAUUACAAGAUCAAAUAAAUGCAGUGUGGUUAAAUAAUUGUGCAAGCAGUUAGUGCUGACAAUAUUGAGGUACUGCAGAAUUUGCUUUGACAAUUCUUCUCCUUUCCUGUUUCCUCCGGUAUUAUAUUCCUAUAUGUGUGUGUGUGCACAUAUAUUCACCUUUUUAUUUAAUAAAGGAAUAUACAUGGAUAUAUUUUUGCUUAAUCGUCUAGUAUUUGAAACCAAUUGGUAAUCGUGUAGGGGCCAUUAUAGGGGGAAGUACUCAUUACUAGGAAUUUCUCCAUUCCUAGGGCUCGAACUUGACAACUACAUGUGUGUCUAUUUUGCUCAUGUUAAAUUGGAUUUCUGUUACAAUAAUUUUCGUUGCAUGGAAUCCUUUUUCUGUAAUUAAACUAAUUGGAUGUAUUAUAAUUUAUAACAAGUUUUGUUCCUUUUGGAAGAUAAUUUCUGGUGAUGAUGAUUUACCUAAACGAGAUGACAUUGGAGAAAGGAGAAGAAAGCAUGAACUGAGAGUUCUAGCCGGAGCUGGAGUUGAACCUACUAAUGAUGUCAAUGAUGAGCCUGGUGACCAUGCAAGUGACGAUGCUGCUACUUCUGACAACAGUGAAUUGGACUCAGAUAUGGAAUUCUACAGAGAAGUCGAAAAGCAACAUUCAGCUAAGCUUGCUGCUAAAGAAAAGAUGUAUUCCAGGUUAGACUCAAUAUUGUUUUAAGAUUGUUAAUGAAAGCAUGCUAAACAACUUUCAUGUGAAAAAUUUCGAGGAUGACUCGUUAAUAUGGAUUAUUAUGUAUAUCCUUUUAUAAGUCCUGCAAUUAUUUCACUUAAUUCACCACAAUUUGCCACUGUAGAUCCCCAGCUAUGCUGUCAACGCCAGAAACUGUUGUGGAUGGGAAACGCCAGAUAAAUUACCAGGUAUGACAUAUUAGCUUUACUGCCAAUUGCAAUCAUGACAUUACUUUUUCUUUCACUAAACUCGUCGUUUCCUUAUUUUCUAGAUGGAGAAAAACAGAGGCCUUACUCGUAAUCGUAAGAAGCAAGAUAAAAAUCCAAGGAAGAAAUACAGGGUAAGUGACUAAAACAGAAUUACAUGUGCUUGAAAGAACCAGUUUCCUUAUAUAACAAUGUUAAUAAACUGUGUGUCUCUCAGGGGAAACAUGAAAAGGCUCAGAAACGUAGAGAAGGACAAGUUCAAAAAAUUAAGAAACCAAGUGGUCCUUAUGGUGGAGAGACUACAGGAAUUAAUGUAGGUAUUAGUCGAAGUAUCCGAUUCAAGGGGUAAGUCAUGUGAUGUGUGGGUCAGACACACGUCCAAGUUCAAAUACUUCCACAGACGACCUCAGUAUUCAAGAUUUCAAAUGGAGAAGGAUAGAGCUACCCAUUAUUCACCGAGUUUCAAACGCUGAAUCACACUGACCCUCGAGAAUUUCUCGGUUACGAGUAAGAGGUUUAAAGAGUUGAUAUUCUUUUUUUUUUUUUGGUUAAAAUUAGUGUUUCCUUCUUCCUUACAAUUUUGUCACCCUUGAAAGAGGAGGGGAGUGGAAUGUCUCUGUUGUAUUGGUGUCAACUUGCAUAGUUUUGUAAUUAUAAUUUUCUUGUUUUCUACUUCUUGAAGUUGGCUAAACUAUCAUGAGCUGUAGUUGACUAGAUAAAGUAUUUGACUACCUUCAUCAAAUUUGUAUGACAACUUAAUUUAUUUAACUGACUCAUUAAUUUCAAGAUGUGUUAAUGAUCAAAUUACAUAGUGUUAAAGAGUUAAUUACCUUUUGUUCAUACUAUUUUCUAGAUUACAAAAUUUUCUUAAAUUUGGUGAAAUCCGGAUGCAUCUUAAAAGAUUCCGAUACAUCGUGUCUCAGUUUUAAAUACAUAACUCAACAUCAUGAAACAUCACAUCUCGAUUUGAAAUAUAUCACACAACGUCUUGAUAUAAUCGUGUACGUUUGGAUAUAUCACGUAAAGUGAUGAAUUAGGAAAUAGGAACGAUUAGAAAUUUUUAUAUUUUUUCAAAUGAUAGAAAUUUUUAAAAAACAUGGUAAAAUAAGUCGUGUAUUUAAAUAAUUUUUCUUGUUUAUAAUUAACUCAGUCCGUCCAGUCCAUUCAUGUUUGGGUUAUGAAUAUGCAUAUCGAUUUAUUAGCUCAACUUCAUUUCUAACUCAUGAAAAUAAAUUAGUUUCUCUCGUUGGACUUUAACAAUUUAUUUUUUAAAAAAUAGAUAAAUUUGUUAGGUUAGAAACUUGGACUUUUUUUUUAUAAAAAAAAAAGGAUAAUGAUUUUGAGAACCCAUUUGGAGUUGCAUCUUACAACUAAAAAGAAAAGUUAAAGAAUGUUAUAUCUCUAAUCCAAUUAAUUAAUAAAUCGCAUUUGUUAAACGCGAUUUAUUCUUUAAUAUAAAGAAAAUCUAUUGCGAAGACAUUUAGAGGGGAUUUAACUUAUGGCCAAUAAAUCAUUAUCUUCAUUUUUUUAAAAUUUUUUAUCCGGAGUUCGCUUUGUUAAAUUUGAAUUUGCGUAGAAAUUCUCACGUUGAUAAGUAAAGUGCUCCCAAAGUAUUACUUUUUUCUGUUGCAUUAUACGUUGUUUCUAUAUUUAGUUUCAUUACAAUAUUCUCUUGAAUGUUUUUAUUAAUUUUAUUAGAAGAAUAAAAAUACUGUUUUUAUAAUUGUUUAUCUUCUUCACUAAUUUGAUUGCGUAGUUUUAUUUAUAAAAGAAAUCGUUAAGUAAAAACAUUCUUUAUACAGAUGUAUAAUUUUUGAGGAUAAGUGGAUCGCAAUAAUUUGGAGAUGAUUAAUUAAAGAAUUAAAAAAAAUUUAUAUAAAAAACAAUAUAUAUCUAUCAUAUAUUUAAUAUUUAACUUUUUUAAAAAGGUAAUACAAUGGUUAUGUCUUUUUUUUUUACUUUUAAUCUGAAGUCCAAUAUCUAUAUUGAAGUCUGAUUAAAUUUAAAUUUGCAUAAAAAAUCUCACGUUAAUAGAAAAGUGCCCCCAAAGUGUUAUCUUUUUGUUAUUGCAUUACAUGUUGUCUCUAUAUUCAGUUUCAUUACAAUAUUCUUUGAAUGUUUUUAUUAAUUUUAUUAGAAGAAGAAAAAAACUAUUUUUCAUAAUUGUUUAUCUUCUUCACUAAUUUAUUGUGUAGUUUUAUUUAUAAAAAUAUCGUUAAGUAAUUAUGAAAGGAUAUUCAAGUGUCGGGGAGUCCGAGGCGGCUCCAACCAAAAGUAGAAAACUUAGUGAAGUAAAGUAAUCAAAGAGGAAGUCAAUGCUAGUAGUAAGGACUUGUCACGAUCCAUUGGGCUACAUAGAAUCUAUGUCCUAGGUGUGAUCACAUUUUGUUCGAGCAAACCGAUGUCCGAAGAAAGAAAAUCUUCCCACGAAUCCAAAAAUUCUUUAAAAAGGGGCGAAUUUACGUUAAUAAAAGUCAGGCGAAGGUGCACUAUGGUAUAAUCUACCUCAAUCAUGAGUAUAAUUUUUGAUUUCGCCUUUCAAAUCACAGCAUCAUGUAACUCACUCGAUUUCAAAUUAGUUAAAGCUCCAUUAAAAGAACACUUUCCUUCGAUAUAUAGUUUCGCCUUUUUUUUUUUUAAUAUUGUGAUUUUUAUUCACACUUUGUAUAUAUAAUAAUAAAUAAUAAAAAUUCACUAAAUAUUUAUAUAUAAACCUAUUAUUAUUACCUUGUUUAUAUAAUUAAAAAUUUACUAAAUAUUUAAGUAUGAACGAAUUAUUAUUAUUAUUAUAAUUAUUAUUAUUUUGAUGAAAAAAAUGAUUUAACCCUAACCACCAAGAAGAUUAAUCAAAUUCCAAGGAAAAAAGCAACACAAAAAGUUGAACUCGACACUAAAAGAAUAUUUAAAAAAACAAGAACUAUGCGUCAAAGUUGCACCAAUUUCUAAAAAUAAAUUUAGAACUACCAAAAAUUUGUAUCUCUAAAUAUGAAUUUAUGAGAAAAAAUAAUAAUAUUAAUUUCCAUAGUUUGCAUCAAAUUUAACUACAAGUUUGGUAAGAAAUGGUAGAUUUGAGGAUUGUUUGGUAUCAGAAUAAGAUAAAUAAAAUUGUCCAUGUAAUGACUCUUGAAGACCAUUUUUUAUAAUUUCGAACUAUUUAUUGACGUUAAUGAACUAAAAUAUCAUUUAUUUUAAAAUCUUAUACCAUUUGUUCUAUAUAAUUAAAUUAAGUUAGUAAAAUUUACCACUUGAAUACCGAAUUAUUUUAUUUAACAACAAAACGAAGAUAAAGAGAAAAAAGGGAAAGAAAUUAACUGCAUUCACCUUUGUAUUGUUGUAUACAUAUGCAUAUGAUGGUAGAUGCCAUAGAAAUAUUUUUUUUAAAAUUAUUAUUAUUAUUAUUAUUAGCAUAGUUGUUAAAGAACAAGAAGAAACCGAAAUUUAAUAGUGGGAAAAAAUAUAAUAAUAAAGAAAUUAAAAAUUAAUAUACUGGUUUAAUGUUCUGAACGUGGGGUUAUAAAUAUAUGAAAUAGUUUUGUCCAAUUAUUGGACAAUGAUUACUCCUAAUCACUAGGCCCAGAUUUGGAAUACUAAUAGUGAACGAGGAAUAUUGAUUGGAACAUUGAAAUUAGAUUGUUUCAGCGGUUAGUUUUGCAAUUCGUCAUUAGUGUGUUGGGCAAUUAGUUUCGAUUUAAAUUAUUUUCAUUCAAUUAUCAUAUUAGGAUUCAAGUUUUAAUAUAUUGAAAUAUGUAUUAAGUAGUGGGUGUAUUGUGAUAUAUAAAAAUCAUUAAAAUUAUGUUGUUUGAAAAUAUUGAGACUAAACUCUAGACUUGAAACUUAGGAAUUUAAUUAUAUAUUUUAAGUGAGUUUUUGGAUUUAGGCUAGACCUAUAGUAAUAUGAGUGUUGUUAGUUUCUUAACCUUAUUGUGAUUAUUAUUGUGAAUAGAUUGCUUUGAGUUGGAAGUUCAACGAAAGGGAAGAUUCCUGAGUGAUGGUUUGAGUAUUUGAGGCAAGUGAAUUUGUAAACUCUUGCUAAGUGUAUGAAAUGCGUGUGUUUUCUGGUGGUAUAUGUUUGGAAGUAAUGGAACUUGGUGAUGGGUAGACUUGUCCACAUUAAUUAGGGCCCGUUUGGCCAUAGAUUUUGCACAUCAAACUUGGGAAAAAACUUGGCAAAUUUUGUUUGUCCAUACACAUUUCUAUUAUUUGGCAAAUUUUUUUGGCAAAUUUUUCAAAUUCCCAAAUACUAGAAAAAACUAGUAUUUGGGACAAAUUCCAUUAUUUGGAAAGUUUUAAAAAUUCAAUUUUUACCCUUAACUUUUUAUUUUACAAAAAUAAUAAUAUUUAUUAAUACCAACUAAUUCAUUUAUCUCCCAUCACAUGGUAUAUAAAUUAGUAGUUCUAUUUUUAUUCAAUAUAAGAAAAUUUACUCAAUAUUUUAUUUUGGUAGAUAAAUAUUACGUUGUUGAUGCUGGUCUACGGAACACAAGAGGAUUUUUAGCUCCAUUCAAAGGAAUGCGCUAUCAUUUGCAGGACUACCGAGGAAGUGAAAGAGAGCCUAAGAAUGGAAAAGAGCUAUUUAACUAUAGACAUGCUUCUAUGCGCAAUGUAAUUGAAAGAACUUUUGGUGCGUGGAAAAGUAGAUUCAGAAUACUAAGACAAGGCAUGAACAACUAUGAAUGUGACAUGCAAGUGAAAAUAGUAAUUGCUUGCGUUGUAUUGCAUAAUUUUUUACGUGAACACCAAAGUAGUGAUGGAAUAUUCAAUGAAUAUGAAAAUGAUGAUAUGGUUGUUGAUGAAAGUGACGAACUAUUGGCUCAGGGAAACAACAUCGCUUCAUCUUCUCGAUCAUCUGAUUCGAAAAUGCAAGCUCAUCGAGAAGAGAUUGUUCAUAAAAUGUGGGAAGAUUAUAUUAAAGAAUAGGUUGAGCUCUUUCAGAGAGAAAGCAUAGGUUCUUCAGUGAUUGCAAAUAUUUAUUUCCUUUUGUUUUCUUCUUUUUUUUCCCGAAUUUAUAUUAGUUGUAUUUUCAUUAUCAUGAUUAGUACCAAGACCUUUUCACUAUACGAAUAUUUACUGUAAUGAUUCUUGUUAAUUUGUUGCGGAAGUCAUAAAUAUUGUUACAGGAGAUUUCUAUUGUGCUAUGUAAUACAAAUUUAUGGUUAGUUUGAUAGUUUUAAAAACUUAUGGGUAUAAAUCAUAUUUCUUAAAAAAAUGAAAUAUGUUUCUCAAAUUCUAUGGCCAAACACAUGGUAAAAUUUCACCCAAAUUUUCAUCCAAAUAAUAUUUGCCAAAAAUAUUUCAAUAUCUAUGGCCAAACGCUAGCUUAAUUCUAAUGAUGAAAACAAAGGGUAAUAAAAGACAAUGUGAAUAAUUGUUGUGUGUGAUGUGUUGAUAAUAAAGAAUGGUUUGAAAGACUUGUUGAAUCAUUGUUGAUGUUGGUGUAAAUCAUGCAGUGUUAUGAAAAUGGUUGUAACAUGUCAUUUGUAUUAUUUUAAGACAAGGUUGUGGCAAGUGUUAUGUGCAUUGAGAAAGAAUGAAGACUUAAAGAGGAUGUACCAUUUCGAGGGACGUAUCUCGUGCCGCAAUGGAUACUAUAUUUUGAGGGACGUAUCGCGCGUCGCGAUGGUUACUAUUAUCGAGGGUCGUGUCGUGCGCCGCGACAGAUGCAUGGACAGAUAUGUCCCCCAUGGGUCCCGGACUGAGAGACAGCGGGUGUGUAUCACUAGGUCAGACAUGCAUCAUUAUAUUUAACAUUGCAUUCUAUUGCAUUGCACAUACUUAUCAUUAGUGAACUUGAUAUUGUGUUUCGCUGAUUUUGUGAAUGUCUUUCUGUGGAACUGGUGAUUGAUGAAUAUUGAGCUUGUUGUUGAGGAUAUAUAAUUUGUCAAAGUGUUGUUGUUGGAGAUAUGCAAUUUGUCAAAGCAUCAUUAUUGAGGAUAUGUAAUUUGUUAAAGUAUCGUUGUUGAGGACAUGCAAUUUGUUAAAGUGUUGUUGUUGAGAACAUGUAAUUUGUCAAAGUGUUGAUGUUGAGGAUAUGUAAUUUGUUUAAAUGUUCUUGUUGAACUAUGUGCUAUGUAAACUUUGAGCUGUUAGGUUGACUGAUUUUUAUGCAGAUUGUAGUUGUGGAGGUUUGGUUGGGGUGGUAGGAGUACCCGUAUUUCAUCUCCUUAGCUUGUGUUUAGAGGUUUACUUGCUGAGUACCGUGUGGUUUGACACUCACCCCUUGCUUCUACAAUUUUUUUUGUAGGUUACUAGCCCACACCUUUAUGAUACAUUCUCUUAUAUUCCGAUGCUUUCUGGAGAUUUGUGAGGUAGUUGUUGGUCAUCUCAGCAUGCAUUCUUAUUCCUGUUUAUGAUUUUGUUUUACUCUAAAAACAAUAUCAGAGACUUAUAUUUUCUUUUGUUUCAAUUGUAAUAUUUUAGAUGCUUGUACACGUGACAACCAGGUUUUGGGGUAUAUUUUAAUUUGAUAAUAAAUUUUUCGCAUUUUAUUGUAAUGGUUGAGUUUUAGGCUAACUUGUCUUGGUGGGAUAAGACGGGUGCCAUUACGUCCAUUUUUGGGUCGUGACAAUCCAUAAAUAAAGAUAAGUUAAUUGUCCACGUUAAUAUAAUAAUUUAUUUCAAUCAUUAUAGGAUAAAUGAUGAGACAAAUAAUAAUUAAUAUUCCUAACUAAAUAAAGAUAAAAUAAUUUUAAUGAUUAUCCCGAAGUUAUCAUCCUCAUAAGUAAUACCAAAAGAGCUCGAGCUCGUUUGAUACGUGAAAUAAGAAACUUAUUUUAGGAUAACUUAAUCCUAUAUUUAAUUAGAAUAAAAUCGUAGGAUAACUUAGUUUCUGUAAUUAUAUUGAAGUUAUAUUUUUAUUAUUUUAUUCAACAUUAUAAUAAAAUAACAAUUUCAAAAUAACUAAACUCAAUAUAACUUAUUUACAAACCAACAAGCUAAAUUAUAUUUUUGAGAAAUUUGAAGGACUAAAACUAUAGUUUAUACACAAAGAUAAGGUCAUUUUUGUCAUUUUUUCGUUGCUUUGGUAUAGUGUAAAAAGUUUCACCGGCGACGGACAAUCAGCCCCACCGCCACCAUACGACUGGAUUUAUCAACCCAUCUCCGAGCAGCAAAUAUGGUAUUUUCAUCAAUAUAGCUUCAUUAAUGGUUGAAUUUUGGUUUGUUAUCGAUUAUCUAGCUUUGUAUUACUCAUUUCAUAUGAAUGUAGCAGCUUUGCAGAAGCAGGGUUUCAUUAUGUUCCAUUGCUUGCCGAGUUUGGUCCGACUCUCGAAAUUCAAACGGUGACACGUAUAAUUGAAAAGGUUUUACUCCAUAUGUUACUUUUUCUUUGUAAUAGCAAUAUUGUAUUCAUCAGAACAAUACAGACGAAUAGUUAACAAGACGGUGUUAGUGUUACUAUUGGUUUAAUUGAGAUUUUUUUCGACAUUGUCUCCUGUUUGGUUUGAACAUUGAUGGUUAUAUUCUAUUUAGAAAGGUGUUAAGUUUUGUUUUAGCUAUUUAAUUUGUAGAAUUGAUUCUCUUUGAAGGUGAUCUAAGAUGAGAUAUUAGAGAUUUUGUAUUGAGAUUUGGGUUUGGUGCUUAUAUUCUUUUUACCACAAUCAAGUUUUUGAUAAUCUCAGCUUCAUAAUACUUUUCAAUUCAAUAUAUUGCUCAACAACACUUCUUACACUGACAAUCAAGCAUGUUAAUAUGAUAUCUCUACUUGAAGGUCGAAGUGAAUUCAUCAACUUGUUGACUUAGUUCCUUUUUUGUGUAGAGGAUGUUGUAAGCUGGGACACGGAGAUUAUUUCAUAUAUGAAAACUGUAAAUCUUGUCUCGCGGAAACAAUGACAUCCGAUAGUGUACUUUUUCGUUAGAAUUUACUAUAAGCAUCUUGCUUGCAGUAUAAUCCCCACCAUUUUUUUUAAUCUAAAGGGAUGAUUAUUUUUUCACUGCUAACCAUGUAGUCAGUCAUUCUUUGGAUUUUUUUUCCUUUGAUAGCCCAGUUGCUUUUGUGGUGUUGGAUUGCUUCAUGUCGUCCCACCUUCUCACUUCUAUCUUCCCAAAAUAGAUGAUGCUCCUAAACAUAUUUUCUCUGUCCAGUUUGUUGCUUCAGUUGCUACUGAGUUCAUGGCAGACAUUGGGCACACGUUUGAUGAUGAUGGUCUCAAGCAACCUUAUUACAACAUGUUUUCUCUGAUGGGGACCGAGUUCUUUGAUUCUGUUGGUUGCAUUAUAAGCUUUGGUAUGUACUAAGUGCUAACCUUUUUCUUGUGUGGUGGUUACACAAGUCUAUAGAUUACUCUUUAUCAAAUAUCUAUGUCAACCGGGGGGGGGGGGAGGGGCUCAAACUGCUCUUGCAAUAUAUGAACGAUGAUCGUCGUGACUUCUAUAUAUAAAAUGGAUAGACCAUCUGGUCUCAUAUGUGAUGCAAUACGAGUUAAUUGAUGAUCUUGUUUUCACUGUCUACAUUUUAGAAUGGAUGAACAACAUUAAACGUAAGGGGUUGUAUGGUAUGAAGGGUGGGUAAUUAGUUAUCCCACUAUAUAUAUGGAAUAACUUAGCCCAUCAUUGUAGUACAAACGGUGGGAUAAUCCAGGGACUAACUAAUACCCCUAACCAAACAUAGGAUAAAAUAAUCGUGCAUUUUAUCUCAAGAUUAUUUUCCCUUGUCCCUUGUACCAAACAACCUCUAAGUGGGAUGUGUAACAACAAUUUUCUAAUUGCACCAAAUAAGUUUCAUCCAUUAGAACUUCACAAUUAGAGUGAAUCUACAAUUGUGCACCAAGUUAUCAAGUAAUCUUUAGCUGUAAAUUUGAAUGCAAGAUAGCCCAUAUUUGGUGAUUUGGUUACUAGAGAGAUCUGCAUUGUAGGAUUUCCUGCUCCAGUUAUGUUCUUUUAAAGAAUAAAUGUGACUGAUUAGAUGUUGAGCUCUUUUAGAUUGUGAUAGACUGGAUUUAUGGUCAAAGGUUAUCCCAUGUGACCCUUAACAACGGUCUGACAGUCCUUCACACCUACCUUUGGUCGAGUUGUAUCAUCUCAGCAUAAAAAAUGCUAUUCAUAUGACACUUUAUGCCUUGAGAUUUCACACUUUAAGAAAUUGGUCGAUUUUUGAUGACCUUCGAUGGACCAAGAUGCUGUCAAGACAUCAACUUAUACAUCAACUAGAAGUCGUCAAAAAGUUAUUUUUCUUAAUUUCUAAUGUGAUUUGAUUUUCGAUUGAAAGGGCAUUGCAAUCCAUCAAAGAUUGUUUGUACCAUUUUGUAGGAAGAUGUUUUAGAGGACAUUUCCUUCUCUGUUGGUAGGAACAUGUCUAUCGCAAUUCUUGACAAAUAAAUUUUUUUAGGGCUUCCAUCAGUCAAAUUAAUUUUAGUUGAAGCCUGACUUCAGAAGACAAUUUCAUAGUUCAUUACUUUUUGGCAGGUUGGUCGUUGGGAGCUCAACUUCUAAUAAAGGAAAAUAUUUCUACUUCUGAUUGAUUUUUGGUAUUUUUUUUUGGUUUCAUAUCCACAUUUUCCGAUACCAACAUUGGAGCUUGCCUAUUCCUGAUUCACGCUGUGUAGGGCUCCAUUCGGGGGGAAUCGCUCCCUACCAAGGAUUUUUUCAUACCGAGGGAUCGAAUCCAAGCCCUUUGAUUAAGAGAGGAACAACCCCAUCCACUACACCACAUCCUUUGCUUGAGUUUCUCCAUUUAGAUCUAACGAUCUUUCCAUCCGGUCCCCAUCGACAUUGACGCUCACCACUCCUCUCUUGUGGUCGCCACUAGCUAGUAAAUCUCCCUUCCCCUACUGUUGAUCCUUUUUCUUUUUGUCUCUUAUAUUUAUUGAUACAUUUAUGAUAUACUUAUGUUUUUUCAAUGUUAUGUUAGUUUGGCCAAUAUUAUUAUUGUAACAUUCUUACUCUAGUUUUAGUAUUGCAUAAGAUUCAACCGAGAUGAACCUUCUAUAAUGGUCGUUCUUUUUUUAUGACAAGGGAAACCCGUAGUCGCUAUCCUUUGGGUGCGUACAAUAAAACCCCCGCUCCUAUGCAAUAGCUAGCAAACCACAUGAAGAGAGAACCGCACUAGGCAAGCUUGGUGCGACGAGCUCGACCCAGAAGGCAAAUCCCUUGCUUUCGCUGGCAAGGGGUUUCGAACUUGAGACCCAACAUGGAAGUCCCAAGCUCAAACCACUGGACCACCCCGAAGGGUACUAUAAUGGUCUGUUGACUAUAUCAGAUUGAGUAUCAACGUUUGAAUAUAGAUUUGUUGGUCAUCUCAAUAAAGUUGCAUUGCUAAGGUGGGUUGACGAAAUGCAAAUUCAAUAAACUGUGGUGAUGUUUUCUAAUUCAUUAUAGCUAUCGAAAGAUGCAAAACAGUAGUAACGAAAACCUUAUAAUGUCUUAUUUGUCAACAUUGCGGUUUGUUGACUUUAGCUUAGAAAUUUGGUUUGCGAUGCCUAUUGCACUUUCAGAAGUAUAGGUGGACCCUGCAUGUAAUAUUAUCUUGUCAAUAUUUAUGUUAACAUUUUUUAAAUUAAAGUUUAAAUUAUAUAAAAUAUGUUCUUUUAAAAAAGUGGGCUGGCCUGGCGUGGGCUGCGAGCCGCAUAAUGAAAGGUUGGGCUGACUGUUUUUUGGCCCACCAAAAUAAUGAGCCAGUGACUCGUAAAACUAAAGCCUGUAAGGGUUACCCCGAAUGGGCUGAAUCGGCCCAUAUUGACAGCUCUAUCAAGAACAAAACCAUCUACAACACCUGCGGCAAUUGUCAUUAUUCAGUUUGACCUAAUAGAUCUUCAUUUGCAUUAACAGAUUAAAUCUUUGCCGCAGAGUCAUACCUUGCUUACCGAUGGAAGUUGAGACACAUAUGUCUUCCAAAACUGCUCAAAAAAUCAGCAUUUUGGUUGUGGAUGAUAAUGCUGCUUAUCUUCAGGUUGUUGCUGAGCUACUCAAGAAAUGCAACUACCAAGGUACUUUUACCAGAUCUUUGGUGAUGUCUUUGUCUUUUUUUUUUUCAUUCCCUAUUUGGUGUAGAUUCUGGAAUGCAAUGAUUGCUUUUUUCUUCCCCUAAUUUGAUAGAUCCUAGAGUUGAAAGUGGUAAGCUUUAGAUCUUCAAGUAGCAUGAUGUAUGAAUUCAAAUUACCUAUCGAAUGUACCAAAAUUGUUUGUACUUCCUUUUUAGGAAUAGGAGUGGAACAAUUAAUUUUAGGUUCCACUUUACUUCGUUAGAUCUUCAUUGGAUCCCAUGUGUGUUUGACUUGAUGAAGAAUGAAGAGGAAUCACAAUGACAAACCACUUUUUGAAUAUAGUUGCUCUCAGUUUUUUUUUAUUGUUAGCGAAAGAUGUAGAGGAGUCUAUCAAUAGAUUGGUUAAAAUGUUCUCAGAUCAUCAACAUAGGCCUUGGCCCUUGCCUACCCUUCUCAAACUCCCCCAUUUCACUAAUUCCUAUUUAACUGAUAUUGUGAGAAUUUUCAAAUCAAAAUUUCUUUUUUCUUUUUCGGUAAGUAAGAAGAAUUUUGUGUACAAGAACCACACAAAGCAGAAAAAAUGAUUUAAUGAAUCUGAUAAGAACAUUAAGUGCAUCUGUAUUUAUGGAAUUAUCUUUGCUAUAGCCACAAGAAAAGAUCUUAGAUAAGCAUAUGUAUGGAAAAAGUAGUUCCCUUGUUUUGGCUAAUAAUCCUAAUGUCAGAGCUUUUAUAAGCAACGUCGCGUAGGAUAUUGGUAUUUGGAUUUUUAAAUGUUUCUAUAUGGAAUGUUUGUCAUUUCCCCUUCAUAAUACAUCUAAUCAAUAAACUAUUUUGUUUUCUUUCAGCUGUGGCUGUCAAAUAUCCAAUAGAUGCUUUGCCUAAACUUCAGAUCAAAGUCGACUCUUGUGAUCUCAUUGUCAUUGAUGUGCACAAGUCUGAUAUGAAUGGCUGUAAACUUCAAGAAAUGAUAGCCGAAGCAUUUGAAAUACCUGUUUUGUGUGAGUUGAUUUCUUCUUCUUUUUUUCCAGUUUUUUUUCUCCGUAAAAUGGUCAGUAUUCUAUUCAUUGGUCGUUAGAGACAAGUUUAUGAUUUAAGCUUAUGUACUAAAUGCCAGCAAUGUCAGCUGACCAAAAGGAAGGUGCAAUCUUGAAAGGACUGAAGGGUCUAUCAGUGGACGAUCAAAGAGAUAAAGGACUCUGCACAGUGUUGCAGGAGAAGAAAGGUAAAAGAGCUGUCCCUGGGAAAUCUGCAAUGAAACAGAGGAAAAGGGGCAAAGAUAACAGUGGCGAUCUUGUUCUACCAACGAAGCCUCAGAUUAUAUGGACAGAUUCACUUCACCACGCAUUCCUGGAAGCCAUUCACGACAUUGGGUUUAGCAGUAAGUUGUUGCUAGCAUAUUCACAUUAUUGAAAAUAGUUUUUCUGAGGUGUCAAACAGAAAGGAAUGUUAAAUUGCCAAUAAUUUGUUACCUCAAUUUUCAUGCAGAAGCUGUGCCAAAGAAGAUUCAUGAACACAUGAAUGUCCCUGGAUUAACUAGAGAAAAUGUCUCCAGUCAUUGGCAGGUCUACUUCUAAAUACAUAUGUUUAACUAUUAUUGUUAUGGUUUUCACAUAUAAAAUAGUUGAAGCAAUGUUUAAUUUCUGUAUUACGUUGCUUGAACUAGUUCAUACUCUUAUAGAAUAAGAUAAAUCAGAUUUUUGUAUUUGUUUACUUUAAUUAUUAAGAUAUUCUUGAUUCUUGACUAUCUAUAUGCAAUAUUAAUCAUCAAUUAGCUUUCGUCUUUAGAAUCUUGCUUUGAUUUUUAUAUAAUGACAACAUAACACUUAAUUAUUGAUGGAUUCUUCCUUGCUAGCUUUGGCUUCAUAGCUAUUCUAUUGAUGGAUUAUUGUAUUAUCAACGUAUGAUCACCUCAGGGUUCAUCUCUUCUGUUGGGGGACUCUCAAAUUCCUUUCUUGCCAAAUAAAUCUAUCUUGCUAGGACUCUCCAAAAUAUUGUGGCAUCCUCCAAAAAUGCUCUACUUUUGGAGGAUCUGACACAUACCCAUCGACAUUUUUGAAGAGUCUGAGAAACGUAGAACUAAAGUAAAUGCUGCCUUUCAAGAUUGUUCUGCAUACUGUUGUAAGAUACUGCAUGAUCUCAAUCUGUUCUUUGCUUGAUUAGCCCAUAGGAGACUAUUGUAAGACAUUCCAUGAUCCACCCUAUGAAGUUCUCUGGAAAGUUCAGGGUCGUGAUAACCUGCUUCGUAAAUUCCUGCUCCAUUGAAUCAUAUGUCUUCUACAUACCACCUUGACCAUGCUUCUUGGAGACAUCCCUUUUCUUUCAUACCUUUUGAUCAGCUGAGACAUGACUUCCUUUGGUCUAGUAGUGAUUAUCUUUGAUAUAAUUUUGUAUAGGAUAGUACAACAGGAUAAAGGUUCAAAUUCUCUUACAUUGGUUGGAUUUCCUUACUUUUGGUAUGAGUUUCACACUGGUACAAUUUACAGGUUUGUGAAGUUUCUGUCUUCUGAAAAACUCCAAUACUGCAUCUGUAUUUCUUCUCCAAUUAUUGACCAUGUCUUUUUGAAGAAUAAGGCAUUAAAUCCAUCAUGUCCUGGGGCUUUUAUGUAUUCUAUUCCAUUUAGUGCUCGGAGAACUCCUCUCUAAUUUACUACUCCAUCUGUCCCAAUUUAUGUGUCUCAUUUUCUUUUUUGGUUUGUCCCAAAAAGAAUGACACAUUUCCUUAUUUGGUAAAUAUUUAAUGACAUUAUUCCUAUUUUACCCUUCUUGAAUCACAUUAUUUCAAUAGUUGCACUCUUUUAUUUAAAGAAAAAGUUAUUGAAAUGCAGUAAAGUACAAAUACUUUUCUCUUUUUCUGACAAUCAACAGUACUUUAAACACUUUUUUUCAAUACUUCGUCAUAACCUUUUCUUUCUUUUCACCACUUUGCUAAUAAGGGUAUUUUCGGAACAUUAUAGAGUCUUUCCAUUUUUCUUAAAGUUUGUGCCAAGCCAAAGUACCUCAUAUAAAAUGGGAUGGAGGGAGUAUUCAAAAUGUGUCCCUCUUUUACGACAUUGGCUUGAAUAGCGGGGAUACUGGUAGAUGCAUGUCUUUGACUUAGUAUUUCUAUAAACUGCUUCCAUACUUUAGCAACUUUGUUUGCUGAUUACGGAAUUGCUGACUCUAAAUCCUCAUUACUAAAACUUAGGUAGCGCUUUUAAUUUGCUCUGUCCUAAUCAUCAGUUCUUCCAUUCAUUUCAAGCAAUUUGUUCUAAUUUUGCAGAAAUAUCGUAAUUACUUGCACCGAGUUAUUGAUUCAAGCUCUAUUAACAAAGUUCCUGACAAAAACUUAGCCAGUAGAGCUAAUCAAUCGACCAUUGCGUCUGGAAUGCUUGUUAAACAUAGACAAGUUCAUCAAGAGAAUUUUGGAGUGCAGUCUAGUGUCCCCAGCUCAUUGAUUCACCCUUCAACAGGUUAUCUGACAGGCAAUCUGCAACAUCUUAAGAAUAAGUACGUAUGAUUCACCUAAUAACCACUUCUUCAGGCAUUAAUCUUAGCUUAAAGCUGUAUCUAUAUUUGUUAAUGAUGUUUUCAGGGGGAAAGAAGUUGAUGUUGUGCUCGAUCCAGUUCGUAAUUUUUCUGUCUUUCACAAGGUUAGUGCUAUGCAAGGAUUACAAGGGAUUGGUGAUCUUAGUGCUUCUUCCAUGAAUCAAGGGAAUGAUCAACCUCAUCAGGUAUAUACUUUUUGAGCAUUUUUCUUUAUUCUUUGCAAUUAUGCAAUCAAAAGUAAAAACUAUACUUUUUUUUAUUGUCUGAUAGUUCAUGUAUUUUCAAAUUUCGUGUUUGAACUUGAUCUUCCCUCAAUUUUAAAGUAGAUAUGGGACGAUUUAAAAAUACUAUUUACAGAUCAACUUUUCUAAUUGAAGUAAAGAGUUGUCAUUGAAAACCACCAGUAAGAUGCUACGUGAGCAAAAAGGUACUAAAGUGGGUUAGCUCCAUUACAAUUAAGUUUAAACUAAAACCAAGAGUUCUCGAAGUCCAAAAAACUGUCAAUACUAUUUAUGGUGGAGUUAUAGUACCAACUCAACAAAUGAACUAGACAUCUAGAUUUCAGUGAGUGAGUUGGAGUUGAAAUCCCAUCAAAUCACCUGCGGUUCCUCUCAUUCUACACGUACCAAAAGUUACUGCUGGAAUCAUUCUUCAGAUCUUCUUGAUGGAUUUGUCAACUCUUCAAAAAGUCCAACUUGAGAAAACAUCCUUGGUAGAAUGUGGAAUGACCGCACUGUAGCCUGAAAAUAAACAGAAAAAAACUCCAGAUACUGCUGCAAAUGGGCUAGGUAGAAGCAGAUGAUUGACACUUGCUGAUCCUAUAGGCACAUGUAGCAUCAAUUGACAAUGACAGUUUUUCCUAUAUUGAGAUUUUCCUGUGUUAGAGAUGCUUCAUUUAAAGCAAUCCAGUUGAGGCAGGUGAGUUUGGAGUCUGGAGUUGUUUUGAUCCUCCAGACAUGCUUCCAAGGCCACUUGUCAAAUAUACCAUUUUGAGAGCACAUGAUAUUGUAGUUGUCCUUGACUGUAAACUGCCAUUUAUGGAGUUCCCCUAUACCAUACUGUCUCAGUGCUGUCCUUCAAUUGUGUACCGUUUCAGAGUGGCUAAUAAUGUGAGGAGGUCAUUUAGUUCCCGUAUCAAAAGGUUCCUUCUGAAUAGAGGGCUCCAAGAAUUAUCUAUCUCUGUAUGAUAUAUGACUCUAGGUCUUUCUUGGUUCCUAUCAGGAGUAGUCCGGGAUAAGAGUCUUUAAGAGCAUUGUUGCCAAGCCAUUUAUCCUUCCAGAAUUUUGUUUGAGAUCCAUUGCCACUUUAUAGGAGAUAUUCUUGAAAAAGCAUGCUUGGUGGCUACUAAUAUGUUUCAUAGGCCAACUAUUUUUUUCUUUCGUUAACAUAAAAUAAAAUGUUUUCAUAGCCCAACUCCAUGAGUUCCUGUGUCUGUUUUAGAAUACCAAUGACUGUGGGUUCCAAACUUGGCAUCAAUUACCGUCCUCCAUAGUGUUGUAUCUUCAUGACCAUAUCUCCAUAACCAUUUCAUUGGCAUGCUCUUGUUGUGUAGACUCAAAUUUUUUAUUCUAAGAUCCACUUGUGAUUUUGGCUGAGUGACUUUGACCUACUUUACUAAUGAACACUUUUGAGUCUGACAAUUACCCUCUCAUAGGCCAUAAGAAAAUCCUCCAUUUGUCUGUCUGCUUCAACACUGAACUAGGCAUAGAGUACAGUGAAAACUGAAAUGAAGUAUGUGUUAGACUCAAUUUAGACGUAGAGAAGUGAAAUCAGGAGUACACUUGUAUAUAAGGUUACAGUACGGCCCAUUUACUGUUUUGUGAUAUAAUACAAAGUUACCAAGUUCAAAAAAGAAAUGAAGUAUGUGGGAAUGCUACCAAGGACUGUGAUUGCCAAGUUGCCAAUCUCCUUUCAACCUUUUCUAUGACACCAUUCCAAACUCCAGGAGAUUUUAGUUUUGCACCCAAAGGAAGACCAAGAAAGCUAGUAGGGAAUGAAUUCGAAUUUAGAGAUCUAGAUAUUACAUCAUAAUAUUAAUGCAACUUAAAUUUUUCUCAGAGUUGAAUAUGCUUGUUGAAGCUCAUGAUUGAUCCUCGUAACAAUUUGGGAGAUGAUCCUUUUUAUAAUAUUACUUUUCACAUCAUCACCAUGUCAACUUUGAUGGUGGUUUUAAUCAGGACAUGGAGACAGAGGACAAUUUGCAAUGAUUCAAUCAAAUACCAUUCAAGGCAAGUUUCUUUUUCAUCAUCCAUAUAAAGAAUAUGAGCGGUGAGAUGUAUUGUUUUGCUCAUUGUAGAUUCUCAUUUGCACAUACAAUUAAUAAUUAACAAGUACUAUCAUAUUCAAUUGUUCAUUGAAAACUCACCAAUGCUUAGAAUCAUUUUUUUUUUAAAAGAAAGUGAUAGACUUACCUGGACAGGGUCAAUGGGCGAUCAUGAAGGCCCAUGGUCUAGGCUUGCACUUUGGAGGGGUGCUCGCCUAAGGUCAGCCCAAGUGGUUGACCCUACGUCAUAAUGAAAAAUAAAAAAGAAUAAAAGAAAGUGAUAGAUCAGCUGAACGAUAGUUUGAUGACAAGAAGUUAACGUCUUUAUGCAUUUUUGCAUCUAUUCUCCUUGUACUUUAGAAUAUUUCUAAUCCUAGACUUUGCACCAUUCAACUGGAUUAUUUAAAUUUUAAAUCUGUUUUUUGCAAAUGACCAACUUAUAGCUUGUUCGGCCAAAGCUUGUCGAGGUCAAAAUUGCUUAUUUUUAUAGAAUUAAGGUGCUUUACCAAACUUCUAAGGGAAAUUAAAGUGUUUUUGAGGAGGAUUCACUUUUGAAAGUUUGACCAAACACAAAUUGCUGCUCUAUUAUUGAGAAACAUGUUUUUCCAUAUUGAUUACGUUGUUACUUUCUAGGGGAACUAUUUUCGAAAACACCUUGGCGAAAGUACACUAAAUACGUAGAAAUUUACUAUAUCUUGGAGGGUGACGUAUCUCAACUUCAUAAAGUCCUAUCAUAUCCUUCUUUUGUUAAAUUUAUUUGGAAAUAAUUUACGCAGGCUGUGCUGACUGUAGAUUGAUGGGGAGUUUCGCCAAACCUACUACUCAGGUAUGAUUUCUUUAGUUUUAGUUAAUUUCGUUUCAAACGAAUUUAUGAAUUAUUAGAUGUCAAAUGUACACUAACUAAACGUUUUCUGUACAUUUUUUUCAGCAGCCUAAGGGUGAUUUGUUUUGGAUAUGGUGUAUACUUUAAGUUUCCCGUAAACUCCACUUGUGGGAUUGCGCUUUGAUAUAUUGCUGUUUUUGUUAUUGGUGUGUUCUUCAAGUCCUUACGAAGAUGAACAAAGCACCUUUAGUUCAAUAUAGCAACAAAAACUAUUGGUACUAGAGACAAAUCAGUGUGUUGCUUGAUGUAUUUCUUUUUAUGGUACUUUCUGGAUUAUGAUAUGUUCUUACUUUUAAGAAAUUGAUUCAUUAAGUUUUAAUGAAUCAAUAUAUUACAUUUUGCUUAAAUUAGUAUGUCAUUUUCGAUUUUUGGUAUUAGUUUUGAGGUUAGAGUAAUUUGAGUUCAUGUGAUGAAGUCUCAUUUUUGGGAUAAAUAUUUCAUAUAACGGAUCGAACGCAAAACCUAUUAUUUAAGUGAUGAUGAAGUCUCAUAGAUAAACACGAGUUCAUAUAAAGGCUCGAAUGCAAAUUUUUUAAUUAAAAAUGAAGGGGUUUAUAUUUCAUAUCAAAUUAAAUGAUUCCUCCGUUUGAUUUAUGUGAUAUUUUUUAAAAUUUGUUUUUAAAAAAUGAUACUAAUAGACUAUGAGCCUGUUUGGCUCAGCUUAAAAUCUGGUCAAACUGACUUAAAAGCUGGUUUUUGACAAUUUUUUAGAUUCCCCGUAUUAUUAUUAUUCAGAUAAGAAUCCUGAUAAUCAUAAAUUGGACUAUUACUAGUAUUAAUAUUGUUAUAGCCUGUCUUUGUAAGGUGAAAGUGGAAUUUAUCCUUUAUUUUGUCUUUUCCAUUCACUCGGAUUUCUUCUGUUUCAUCGAUUUUGUUCGGAUCCCACCCUUCUUCCGAAAAAAGGGAAGGAGAAGGACAAGUUGUUUGACAAUACUCAAAAUAACUUAUUUUAAGUUAAAAAAAAUAUUUUAAGCCAAAAUUUAAAAACUGAGGUAGGGAUGUUUUUUUUUUUAGCUUAUAAGCUAUUUUAAGUUGACCAUAUUUUUAUCUUUUUGCCCUUAAUAUUUUUAUACAAUCUCCAAAUUACCCACAUAACCCUAACAUCUCUUUCUUCCAUUUUUCCCUUUUCACGUUUGGCAUAGCAACUUCAGCACUUUUAUCCAAACACAUUACUGUUUAUUUUAAAAAUAAGUUUCAGCACUUUCAAAAGUACUUUAUUAAGCCCAUUCAAACGGCCCUAUGAAUUUGCAUUUUGAAUUCUUUUACUUAACUUUUGCCAAUUAAAGUAUGAGUUUUAUUGAGCUUAACGGUUCAGUUGCCAAAUAGUUGAGCAAAAUAGUUUAGAAUAUGAACUCAUAUAAGUAUAAUUACAUGUCCAUUCAAUUAUUUCUCCGUCAAAUUAUAUCAUAUGGUGUAUUCUUUAUAAUAUUUUAUUUUUGUAGUAUGAAAUAGAACAAAAAUUAUACAAUUAACUUUUCAUUAUACCUUUAAUAAUAAAUUUUACAACCGUAUGACACAUUAAAAUUAUAUUUAUUUAAAAAAAAUAAUCAAUACUCGUACAUUUUUCAAAUAUAUAUUUUCAAUAAAACAUGACGAAAAUUAUAGAUUAUAAAUAAAAUUAUUACAAGAAGGGUAUUUUGGUCAACAAGAAAACUCGCCGCUGCGGUUUAUAACUCUGUAAGAUAGCGUCGAGAAAGAUAUUUUCACUCAGCCUCGAAGCUCUCGCUGUACUUCACCAUUUCUUCAACUUUCGAAAGAGGUAACAGUUCUUCAUCGCUCUCUAAUUUAUCAAUCAGAUCUUCUAAUUUAUACUGUUUUUUUCUCAGAUCUGUUUAAAUUUUGUAGAAAUCAGUAAAGUAAAUAGGGAAAUGUUGAAUCUGAGUUUUUUUUUUUAAUCAUCAAGGUUUAUAUUCUGUGUGGAGGAAUGGACUUUUUGAUUGUUGGUUAGCUUGGUUAAAUGAUGUACUAAAAAAUUAUAAAGUUGAGGUUUUUGUUGAGGAUCUGUGUUUUUUAGGUUAAGAAAUUGAUUUGUUUGUGUUGGUGUUAAGAUUGGAAAUUGAAGGGUUUUGAUGCUUGAAGUGUUAUAUAAGUAAAAAUGAAACUGAAAGUUGUAGAUUAGGGUUGUUAAAGUUGACCUUGGGCUGUUUCAACCUACCUUAGCAUUAAUAAGUUUGAUGAAUGGUUAUUCAGUUAUGGGUACUCAAGGGUGAGGCCUUAUGGUCAAUUAAGUGGGGGGAGAACCCUAGGUCUCAAGUUUGGCAAAAGAUGCUACUAGGUGUUUUGUUUUCCUUUCUAUGCUUGAGGUAGCUGGUACUUGGUGGAAUAGUUGAGGUUUCCGUAGGUAGCUUGCAGAUCAUCGUCACUGAAAAAAAGAGAAUUGUCAGCUUUGUCUACUAGCAUUUUUGGUGCUUGAAUUCUACAAAAGAAGAUGGAGUGUAACUUUUAAGGUUUUAGCAUAACAUGAGGAUAUAUUAGGUGGAGCAACCAAGUGUGUCAUAGUGGUCAAUGAAGUGGGUUGAGAACUAUGAGGUUUAAGGAUCAAAAUUCUAGCCGAGAUAAAAAAAAAUACUAGGUCAUUUCUUUCCAUGUUCUCAAGCAUUGGCGGACAAUUUCUAGUAUCUUUGACUGGUGGGAGGUGGCGGUUAUCCCGUAGAACUAUGUUGAGGUGCGCGAAACUAGCCCAGACACCAUGAGUAUAAAAAAUGGAGAGGAAAUAUUUAGGUGGAAGAAAAAACAAUUUCUUUUAUGAUGUUUUGUGUGGAGAGACUUGUGUGUUGUAUAGAGAUAAGUGCGAGAAUUAGAGAAACACUAAGUCUAUGCUGAUAUGCAAAUUAUUUAGUACCAUGUUCAAAUUGAUCAAAUCCAUCAUAAAGGAUUCACGGAGUUGAUCCUAAAUAAGGUCAAAAUACUUGAAGAAAAGCAGUAGGUUCAAAAUCAACUAUUAGUCCAUUGUGCCCUAUAUUUAGCUACACUAAAUUGUUUUCAAGAAAUUGUAGGUCUCUAAAAGUAAUGUGGUUUUUAGGUCUAUCUCAUACAGCUUUGCUCACCAUAGUAUGACACCUAGUCACCGGUGCAUUUGUAGGCUGUGACCAAACAACUCAAGUGAUGUUCUUCAUUUUAUCCUCAGGCGUGCUAUUUGCAUCAUAUGGCAAUUGUGUCCAUUUUUAAUCUGAUGUAAUCUUGUAUGAUUGCAACAUUCAUCUUGUUGAUAUGUUGAACUCUAGCGGUCCAACAUUCGCCACCAGAUAACAUUACCGGUCCUAUAAAUUUUCUGGACUUACCCUUCACUUCGGUAGUCAUCCUGCUAUCUCAUAAUGCUUCGGUAGUGUUUCUCCAUUUCAAUAAUUAGUUUGUAAUUGUACAAUUAUCAUCUCCCUCUGUCAUUUCAUUCUGUUGAAACAGUGACCGUAUAUAUCUAAAUUGUCUUUGGAAAAGCCACAAUUCCUAAACUCUUUGGCUAUGUUAACUUUUGAAACAAGAAAUUGUAAUACAUUAGAAGUACUAUCUGUUUAUUGAUUGUCUUCAGCUUUUGGUACUAAUUUAGCAUUUUAAGCGGAACAUAUUAGCAACUAUUAUGCCAAAUUGUCAAACAUUUUGUCAUGUUUACUUCACUAAUCAUAUUAUGACUAGUAUAAAGAAACAAGUUCUUAAAAGGAGGCACAAAUGUUUCUCGAGUGGUUUACUUGUGUGUGUGUGGCUCUUGUUGUACCUGUACUGAUGAAGUACAUUAUGUUUGUUGAGUUGGACUAAAUUAAUUUGUUUCUCUUCCCUGAUCGCGAGUAAUUUUCUUGUCUGAUCUCAAGGUGGAAAGAGUUUUGAGAUCUUCUACUCAGGUGGGAUGAGGCCAAUUUUCUGUGGGAAUGUUGAGUAUAAUGCCAGACAGUCAGAGUUGGAGAGGCUUUUCAGAAGAUAUGGGAGAGUGGAUAGAGUGGAUAUGAAAUCUGGUAAGCCUCGAAAAUCUUGGUUUUAUGUGUUAUUUCUUACUUGAUAUUGGAGGUGCUAAUUGGUCUUCUGGUUGGGUUUACUUCGUGUCCAGAACUAUCUAUCCACAUCGACCUUUCUUGUCCUGAAUCUCAUUCCUACAAAAUUAUACAUGCUAACUAUACCAAAAAAAGUUUUUUUGUGAGAUGAAUUGGUUAUAUGGCCAACGAACUCCAAUUAGAGCUUUCCUGCUGUGGUGGUCUUAUGUUUAUUUAUUUAUUUUCUUUUUACUUUGUGAAUUUAAUAUAUGAUCCUCCUAUAUUGCGGAUGAGUUUAGAUCAUGCAUCUUAUCAUCCUCCAGCAAGGUGCCUGAAUAGACCGUUUAGUAGGAUGCUGGAAUUUUUCACUUCCAGUGGUCAGGACAGUUCUUUUAUUUGAGAGUUUUACCUCCAUGCAACUGCAAACUGAGACAUGAACUGAGUUGUGCAAAGUGAUUGUUCCACCCAUUGCUCACGCCUUGACAUACAGCACACAUGUUGCAUUGAAUCUGAGAAUGAUCGUUCUGCGGCUCUAGAUAUUUUGAUAACUAGCAAGCAGUAAAGCUGAUGUGGUGGCGAAGCAGUUGAUAUAUGAUGGCAAAUCUUGACGUACCCGGCAGUUCAUUUUCUUCUGAGUAUUGAUGAUUCAAGAGAUUCAGAAGUCCUCGCCUGCACUUAUCCUUCCUUAUCUGAUAGUUUCAACUGUCAAAGGACUUGAAUAACUGAAAUUUGGUCUGCUUUGGGACACCGUGAUCAUUCUUCACAUUGUGAUAGCAUUGGGCCGAAGAUCUGUUCAGAUCAUUUGACUCAAUAACAGAAGAUGUAGCUUUUUAUGGGUGUUAGGAUAUGUUUACAAAGAAGUGUUUUUAAGUAUGAACCACCAUACUCAAUUAUUCUUUGGCGCAGGAUAACAUUGCAAUGUCCAUACUAUCAUGGCUGAUGGACGUAGUCUCAUUUCAUUUCCUAGCUGUGACAAGUGUUCUCUUCUUGUCUCCAAGAAGAGCUCUCUGAUCCAUCAUGGCAUCACAAUCAUAUGUUUUCCUCCGUCAUUAUUGCUUUCCAAUCCAGAGUUUUCCCCAGUCUUCAUUUUACAGACUAGUCACAACUCACAAUACCGACCUCGAUGCUGAGGCAGCAGAUAAAAUGGAGAAGGCACUUUCUUUACAUUGUUCCCUCAUGUGACAUGCACCUUUACUUGAAAUCUGUUAGUCCACCACCAAAGGUCUGUUGCUGAUUUUACUCGUAAAAAAUUUAUAGAUUUGACAGUGGUUUUGUAAUUGAGAUGUUAAGUUAAGAUGGUUUACAUCUCUGUUGGAUGGAAUAUUGUAUAUUUUAAUACUGAAGAAUGUUUCACUGGAGUCUUGUUCCAUUUGCUUUUAAGUUUUAAUUUAACUUAUCUUGGUGGUGUGUUUUCAGGUUUUGCUUUUGUGUACAUGGAUGAUGAAAGAGAUGCCGAGGAUGCUAUUCGUGGACUUGACCGUAUAGAGUUUGGCAGAAAGGGACGCAGACUUCGCAUUGAAUGGUCAAAGGUAAUCCUUUUUUUUUGGUCCAGAGAUCCAUCUCUUCCCUUAAAAAAUCCUCAAAUUCAUUUGGUGUUCUUAAAUGGAUAUGCUGCAGGAAGAGCGUAAUGGUAGGAGGCCAGAGACUUCAAGGAAAUCUUCAUCUAGUGUCAAACCUUCAAAAACUUUGUUUGUCAUAAAUUUUGAUCCAUAUAGUACUAGGAGCAGGGAUAUAGAGAGGCACUUUGAUCCAUAUGGAAAAAUACUCAAUAUAAGGAUUAGAAGAAAUUUUGCAUUUGUUCAAUAUGAAACUCAGGAGGAUGCUACUAGAGCCUUGGAUGCUACAAACAUGAGGUAUUUUCUUGAUGAUUUGUUGUGAUGUGGUUAUUUUUAUCAAACUUUUUUGUAGUUUUCCACUUCCAUAGGUGACAUUGUUUGUUGCUCGUCUUUUUCUUUCUGAUGCAGUAAACUGAUGGAUCAAGUCAUUACAGUUGAAUAUGCAAAUAAAGAUGAUGAUGACAGGAGAAAUGGGUUUAGCCCUGAUAGAAACCGAGAUAGGGGUCUUAAGAGAGGUUAUGACCGAGGCCGAUCUCGGAGUCCUUAUGGAAGAGAGAGGGGGAGUCCUGAUUAUGGUCGUGGGCGGGCCCGUAGCCCAAGUCCGAUCCGUCAAGGUAGGUCAAGCCCUGAUUAUGGUCGUCGACCUAGUCCUAAUCCCAAUCAUAGGGAAAGGGAUUCUGAGUAUGGCAGUGGCCGUAGUCCAAACAUGAGAAAGGAGAGGAACCCUGAUCAUGGAAAUGGCCAUAGUCCAAACCCUCGUAGGUUGAGAGCCGGUUCUGAAAAUGGUGAGGUGCACAGUCCACCAGAGGAAGGACUUCUGGAAUCUGGCCCUAGUCCCCCUAGGGUGGGGAGGAGAGGGAAAUAUAGCCCAGAUGAUUAUCGUGGCCGUAGCCGUAGCCCAAGCCCAAGGUCUAAACCUGAAGAAAUAGGUAGUCCUAGAUAUGGUGCAGCAGAAAGUCCUCUUCCAGAACGACACAGGAGGUUCACAGCUUAUUCACUCUUUUUUCUUUUAGCUCUCGCUUAUCUGUUCUCCACGAUAUAGUUGCAACAAAUUACUCUCUUGCUUUAUAAGCUUAUAUAAUUUUGUUUACAAUGCAGCCUUUCACCUCCAACUCGAGAAAGAUCCCGCUCCUAGUUUGCUCUGUAUCAGCCUCUGACCUGAGUCAUAUUUUUCGUGGACAGUCACAUUGCUAGUGGGUGCUGUAGAAGUAUGCUUUUAAGUUGCUGGAGCCUCAAAAUUCCAGUGUCUGUUUUUGCUACAAUAUGUUCAAAAUUCCAGUCACUAUAGUAUGGUUUUUUUGACAAUUUGUUCUUAAUAGACUUGCUACUGUAUUAGGUGAUUCUGUUUUAAAGUUGAUAACUCCUUGGUAAUACUUUGGUCUAGUUGGGCUGAACUAUCUUGAAUAUCAUAUUCUCAGAAUAUGUACUGAAGAUGAUGGGUUAUUUGCACUUCUGUCCUUGGUUUGUGUUGGUCUUUAAUUUUUAUCACCUCGUCACGAAAAAAUAAAAAUCACUAAGGUAGUUUAUAUUUUCGUAUCAUAAUAUAAACCAAAGGUCUUUGACACCUCACUUCACUUGUAGAUCUCUUGCAGAAUCAACUCUGCUGCCCUCUCUAAACUACAUAUUUACAACUGCCCGUUGCUCGAACCACAACUAGAAAUGUGACAUAUGUUUCAGACUCGUUAGAAUAAAUGUUAUUAGCUCAUCAUAUGUACUUGAAUCUCUGAUGUACAGUCAAAAUCCAAAGGCCAAUAAUGUGUAUUUUUGAUAAUGAAUAUCCAAACUUUUUCAAUGUCCACUGUGUUGUAUGAGUUAUCUAGCCAGAUUGAGGCAAUAUGUCCACCAAUUAAAUAUGUUAUAAUAAGUAUAGUUAAAAAAUGCAUUUUAAUUUUUGAUAUGCGCGUCUAUUUGUUCAACUUUAUAUAAGUUUAAGUGUAUUUUUGUGCACAUCUAUUAUUGAAGAAAAUAAAUACUAGCUAAAAUCAAAUUAAAUGACAUGCAUUUUAAUAUUACUAGGAAGAAUAUCGUAAGAGGAGUAAAUGUAUGAUUUUUUUUUCAUAGUUAUAAGGUUUUAACAUUUGAUUUGAAGUUCAUAAGGGUCUAUCUAUAAUUAAAUCACAGUAUAAGGAUAACUAAAAUUCAUUACAAGUAAAUAUUGUUUGAUUAAAAAUGAAUCAAGUCCAUAUUGAGAUUUGAUUAUAUCGAUAUGUUAUCAUCAAAAUUAAUAUUAUAUUUAUCUCAAAAUAUUUGUCACGUUUUGAAUAACUAGCGACAAUUUUAGUGACGAUUAUAGUUGCCCCAAAUGCAUAUUUUUUGCUGUGAAUAUUAUAUGAUUUAGUGGCAAUUUCUAAUGCCAUUAAAAUGUACUUUUUGCGGUGCCUUUAUAAGAAUUAGUGGCGGGUUUAGUUUCCACUUAUUCUUUCUUUUAAUGGCUAAUUUAUAUGAUUUAGUGGCGACCACAACUGUCGUUAAAACUCUUUAUUUUUGUCACUACAAGUGGCUUUUUAGUGGGCGAUAAAACCUUUAAUCUUUGUCACUAAUAGUCUCUUUAAUUGGCGACUGUAAACACCACCAAAACAUCAACUUUUUCCUCUAAAAGUCCUUUUUAGUGGCGACUUUUACCGCCACUAAAACCUUAAAUUUUUUGUCGCCUAAAAGCCAGUUUUAGCGACCAAAUUUAUAAGUUUUAGUGGCGGUAAAAGUCGCCCUAAAAGGCACUAUUAGCGACGACAUUUAUAACUUUUAGCGGCGGCGGUAGUCGCCACUAAAAGAGACUUUUAGCGACCAAAUUCAUAACUUUUAGCGACGAUAUUCAUAACUUUUAGCGACCAAAUUCAUAACUUUUAGCGACGAUAUUUAUAACUUUUAGCGGCGGCUGGAGUCGCCACUAAUAGUUACUUUUACCGACGACAUUCAUAACUAUUAGUGGCGGUUAAAGUUGUCGCUAAAAAGACUAUUAGCGACGACAUUUAUAACUUUUAGCGGCGGUUGUUGUCGCCACUAAUAGUGACUUUGGUGACGAUAUUCAGAGGCUUUAGCGGCGGUUAAAGUCGCCACUAAUAGUGACUUUUAGCGACGACUUUAAAACUUUUAAUUUUUGUUGCUAAAACUAUACUUUAGCCUUUAAUUUUUGUGACUAAAGACUUUUGCGGCGACUUUAAAACUUUUAAUUUUGGUCGCUAAAACUUUUAACUGUUGUUACGAAAAGGGACUUUUAGCGGCGAUUGAAACCGCCGCUAAAGCCUUUAAUUUUAGUUGCGAAAAUUUAUUUUAGGCGACGACAAUUUUAGAUACCACAAAUACAAUCUUUUAGCGUCAAUAGUUUAAUGAUUUAGUCGUUAUUUUAGUUGUCAUUGAUACAAUCUUGUAGCGAUAAUUGUCAUAUGAUUUAGUGGCGGUUUUGGUGACAUGAAUAUGAACUUUUAGCGAGGUUUGUUAUGCGAAUUCUUGGCACAUUUUUGUUCCAUUAGUUCUUUCUUUUAGCGGCGACUAUAAUAAGAAUUAGUGGCUUAUUUCUUUUGCAACUAUACUUCUUUAGCAUCGUCUCUUAUAUCAAUCAGUGGUUGUUUUUGAGUUGCGUUUAGCAGUGAUUCUUAGAUCAAUAAUUGGCUGUUAAGUUUCCACUUUAGCAACAACUCUUCUAUGGUGUAGUGGCGAUUUUAGUUGCCAAUAACACCAACUUUUAGUGGUAACUCUUUUAUGUGUUUUUGCGUCUUUUUUAGUUUCGACCCACAAAUACUACCUUUUAGCAACGUAAUUUAUAUAUAUGGAAAAUUUGAUCAACUUGCGCCACCUUGACACUACUGGCACUUCUCUCUUGAAGAUGCCACUACAUCCAAGCAAGUUGAAAAACCUCCAUGUGCUAGUAGGAUUUGAGUUUAUUCUAGGUGGCUGCAAUGAUUUGAGAAUGGUGGAUUUAGGUGAACUACGCAAUUUGCAUGGAUUUAUAUCAGUUCUAGAGUUGCAGAAUGUGGUUGAUAGAAGGGAAGCUCUGAAGGCAAACAUGAUGAUAAAGGAACAUGUUGAGAUGUUAUCGUUGGAGUGGAGUGAGAGUAUUGCUGACAGUUCACAAACUGAAGGAGACAUACUCGAAAAACUUCAACCAAAUACAAACAUAAAGGAACUGGAAAUCGCUGGAUAUGGAGGGACCAAACUUCCGAAUUGAAAAUUUGUUUGUGGACGUCCGUCAAGACCUUGUCUAUGCAUUCGGUUGGCCCUCACGGCCCUUCCGACCCAUUUUGAAGGUCAAACGAGCCCCGAAGCGAGCAUACCCCUUAUUUCGACGAUUUUUGUGUGCUAUAGCAAACAAUUUUUUGGGUGAUCCGGGUUCCGACGUCAAAAAUGCCAAAUUUUUUUGUGGACGUCCCUCAAGACCUUGUCUAUGCAUCCGGUUGGCCCUCACGGCCCUUCCGACCCAUUUUGAAGGUCAAACGAGCCCCGAAGCGAGCAUACCCCUCAUUUCGACGAUUUUCGUGUGCUAUAACGAACCAUUUUUUUGGGUGAUCCGAAUUCCGACGUCAAAAAUGCCAAAAUUUUUUGUGGACGUCCAUCAAGACCUUGUUUAUGCAUCCGUUUGGCCCUCACGGCCCUUCCGACCCAUUUUGAAGGUAAAACGAGCCCCGAAGCGAGCAUACCCCUCAUUUCAAUGAUUUUCGUGUGCUAUAGCAAACCAUUUUUUAGGUGAUCCGGAUUCCGACGUCAAAAAUUCCAAAUAUUUUUGUGGACGUCCGUCAAGACCUUGUCUAUGCAUCCGGUUGGCCCUCACGGCCCUUCCGACCCAUUUUGAAUGUCAAACGAGCCCCGAAGCGAGCAUACCCCUCAUUUCGAUGAUUUUCGUGUGCUAUAGCAAACCAUUUUUUGGGUGAUCCGGAUUCCGACGUCAAAAAUGCCAUAUUUUUUUCUAUACGUCCGUCAAGACCUUGUCUAUGCAUUCGGUUGGCCCUCACGGCCCUUCAGACCCAUUUUGAAUGUCAAACGAGCCCCGAAGCGAGCAUACCCCUCAUUUCGACGAUUUUCGUGUGAUAUAGCAAACCAUUUUUUGGGUGAUCCGGAUUCCAACGUAAAAAAUGCCAAAAAUUUUUGUGGACGUCCGUCAAGACCUUGUCUAUGCAUCCGGUUGGCCCUCACGGCCCUUCCGACCCAUUUCGAAGUUCAAACGAGCCCUGAAGAGAGCAUACCCCUCAUUUUGACGAUUUUCGUGUGCUAUAGCAAACCAUUUUUUGGGUGAUUCGAAUUCUGACGUUAAAAAUGCAAAAUUUAUUGUGGACGUCUGUCAAGACCUUGUCUAUGCAUCUAGUUGGCCCUCACGGCCCUUCCGACCCAUUUUGAAGGUAAAACGAGCCACGAAGCGAGCAUACCCCUCAUUUCGACGAUUUUCAUGUGCUAAAGCAAACCGUUUUUUGGGUGAUCCGGAUUCCGACGUCAAAAAUGCAAAAAAAUUUUGUGGACGUCCGUCAAGACCUUGUCUAUGCAUCCGGUUGGCCUCACGGCCCUUUCGACCCAUUUUGAAGGUCAAACGAGCCCCAAGCGAGCAUACCCCUCAUUUCGACGAUUUUCGUGUGCUAUAGCAAACCGUUUUUUUGGAUGAUCCGGAUUCCGACGUCAAAAAUGCCAAAAUUUUUGUGGACGUCCGUCAAGACCUUGUCUAUGAAUCCGGUUGGCCCUCACGGCCCUUCAGACCCAUUUUAAAGGUCAAACGAGCCCCGAAGCGAACAUACCCCUCAUUUCCACGAUUUUCGUGUGCUAUAGCAAACCAUUUUUUGGGUGAUAUGGAUUCCUAAGUCAAAAAUGCCAAAUUUUUUUGUGGACGUCUGUCAAGACCUUGUCUAUGCAUCCGGUUGACCCUCACGGCCCUUCUGACCCGUUUUGAAGGUCAAACGAGCCCCGAAGCGAGCAUACCCUCAUUUCGACGAUUUUCGUGUGCUAUAGCAAACCAUUUUUUGGGUUAUCCGGAUUCCGACGUCAAAAAUGCUAAAUUUUUUUGUGGACGUCCGUCAAAACCUUGUCUAUGCAUCCGGUUGGCCCUCACGGCCCUUCCGACCCAUUUGGCAGGUCAAACGAGCCCCGAAGCGAGCAUACCCCUCAUUUUGAUGAUUUUCGUGUGCUAUAGCAAACCAUUUUUUGGGUGAUCCGGAUUCCGACGUCAAAAAUGCCAAUUUUUUUUGUGGACGUCCGUCAAGACCUUGUCUAUGCAUCCAGUUUGCCCUCACGGCCCUUCCGACUCAUUUUGAAGGUCAAACGGGCCAUGAAGCGAGCAUACCCUUUAUUUCGACGAUUUUCGUGUGCUAUAGCAAACCAUUUUUUGGGUGAUCCAGAUUCCGACGUCAAAAAUGUCAAAUUUUUUUGUGGAUGUCCUUCAAGACCUUGUCUAUGCAUCCGGUUGGCCCUCACGGCCCUUCCGACCCAUUUUGAAGGUCAAACGAGCCCCGAAGCGAGCAUACCCCUCAUUUCGACGAUUUUCGUGUGCUAUAGCAAACCAUUUUUUGGGUGAUCCGAUUCCGACGUCAAAAAUGCCAAAUUUUUUUGUGGACGUGGCUGAUCAUUCAUUUCUUAAACUGGUAGGAGUGUCUCUUAGCAAUGCAACAACUGUGCUUCCUUGCCAGCACUAGGACAACUUUCUUCUUUGAAAUUCCUUACCGUUAGAGGGAUGCAUCGAAUAACAGAAGUGAGAGAAGAGUUCUAUGGUACGUUGUCCUCCAAAAAGCCAUUUAACUCUCUUGAGAAGCUUGAAUUUGCAGAGAUGCCAGAGUGGAAGCAGUGGCAUGUACUGGGGAAGGGAGAGUCCCCUGCACUUCAUGACUUGUUUAUUGAUGAUUGCCCCAAGCUGAUAGCCAAGUUGCCUGAAAAACUUUGCUCUCUGAGAGGAUUGAGAAUUUCAAAAUGUCCUGAACUCAGCACGGAGACACCUAUCCAACUUUCAAAUUUGAAAGAGUUUAAAGUUGUUGCUUCUCCUAAAGUUGGAGUUUCUUUUUGAUGAUGCUCAACUGUUUACAUCUCAACUUCAGGGAAUGAAACAGAUUGUUGAAUUAUGUAUUCACGAUUGUCACUCUCUUACCUUCUUACCUAUUAGCAUCCUUCCCAUUACCUUGAAGAAAAUAGAGAUAUAUCAUUGCAGGAAACUGAAAUUGGAGGCGUCAAUGAUUUGUAGAGGAGAUUGUAACAUGUUCCUGGAGAAUUUGGUAAUAUAUGGAUGUGAUUAAAUAGAUGAUAUAUCAUCAGAUAUUGUCCCAAGAUCACACUAUUUGAGUGUAAACAGUUGCCCCAACCUUACUAGGCUUUUGAUUCCUACUGAGACUGAAAAAUUCUAUAUUUGGCAUUGUAAGAAUCUUGAAAUACUUUCAGUGGCAUCUGGAACUCAGACGAUGUUGCGUAAUUUGAGUAUUCGUGAUUGUGAGAAGCUGAAGUGGCUGCCAGAAUGUAUGCAGGAACUCAUUCCAUCUCUUAAGGAACUAGAACUAUGGUUUUGUACAGAAAUAGUGCCAUUUCCUGAAGGAGGAUUGCCCUUCAAUUUACAAGUCCUUUUGAUCAAUGAUUGUAAGAAACUGGUAAAUGCGCGAAAGGAGUAGCAUUUACAAAGACUAUCCUGUCUUAGAGAGUUAACCAUCUUACAUGAUGGCAGUGACCUUGCUGGUGACAACUGGGAGUUGCCUUGCGCUAUUCGAAGGGUUACCAUAUCCAAUCUGAAAACAUUAAGCAGCCACAUUUUCAAAAGUCUUACCUCCCUUGAAUGUUUAUCUACUGGUAGAUCACUUCAAAUUUAGUCACUGCUGGAAGAAGGGCUUCCUACCUCUCUUACUCGUCUAACAUUAUUUGGCAAUCAUGAGCUCCAUUCCCUACCAAUUGAAGGUCUACGAAAACUCACUUCACUUCGGGAUCUAUUCAUUUCCUCCUGUGAUCAACUCCAAUCUAUUCCAGAAUCAGCACUUCCCUCCUCUCUCUCUCUCUGAGCUGACCUUCCAGAAUUGCCACAAACUCCAAUACCUUCUGGUAAAAGGAAUGCGCACUUCAAUCUCUUCACUAUCUAUUUACGACUGUCCAUCGCUUAAACCACUCCUAGAACUUGACAAAGGAGAAUACUGGCCAAAAAUUGCUCAUAUUUCCACCAUAAAUAUUGAUGGGGAAUACCAGUAAUGGUGUGAAGUGGUGUCCACCUCAUGACCAUCAUCUGCCUUUGCUAACUGAGAGUAUGCAUCUGCGCAAAGGUGAGACUGACUCAGGAUUGCUUUAAGCCACACCCUUUGGAUUGAUGGUUACUUAAUCUGGUAUGCAGGUUACUUGUUUAAGGCAUGUUAUAUAUAUAUAUAUAUAUCGUGUUGAUUUCAGGUUUAAUGUGACUUACAUUAGAUAGCAAAUACUGAACUUCUGUUAGUACUUGGAUCUUUAGCACAAUAGCUUUUGUGUUUCUGUGUAUAUAGACUGAAAAACUGAAACUAAAAACCUGACUAACCUAUACCUGUUUGUUAUUGAUGUAGUCUAAUACAUACUUUGGUGAAUUGACCAAAUUUGGUACUCAUCAUUCACCCACACACAGACCGUGUCGGAUCAAUCAGACCCUCAGCUUGUGGAUGGAUGAUCACUUCAUCUGGUUUGAUUCAUGAUCCCAGCCUUCAGUUUUCAUCUGUCUAGGACAUGCUUUGUUCUUCCUGAAAUGUUCAAUCAAUUGUAAAAUCUCUAGGAAGAACAUAAUGUUCACAAAAAUGAAAUCUCUAUGAGAUAGCUUUUGUUCUUCUAUUUGAAUCUAUCGACAUUUUUGAAAAAUUCGAGCCAGAGUAUGGUACAGUCUAGUGAAGUGCAGGUGGCUCAGUCCAACAUCAAGAAGAAGCACUGGCCUCCAUGCACAUGAAUCAUGAUUAUAAUGCACUCUAUCGCAUGAUACUUCCGACCACUCAGUUGACACAACUAUUUUAUUGUUACAAAUAAUAUCUCUACUAUCUUCACAAGAUAGAAGUCAGAUUUGAAUACAUCUCUAACUACAGAUCACCCUCUGUAGGAGCCAUGAUAAUAAAAUUUAUUGAGUACUUAAAAUUCAUAAAUAGAAAUUAUCAAGAGGAUAACUAAACACAGAGACAAAAAGAGAAAAAAACUAAUUUGUUCAUAUACACAAAAAGACAGCAAAGAAGCAGGCAACAUACAAGAUGAACAAAAAGCUUCAAAAUAAAUCUAAGCAAGUCCCAUCAUUAUGUCAUCGCCUAAGCUCUUAAUCACUUCUGGCAUCUUCAUCACAUCCUUCAUUUUCUUCUUCUCUUUUCCCUUCUCUCCUCUUUCUCCCUCUUCCUCCUCCCCUCUCGGAUCCAUUGGCUCCGAGGGAGCAAUGGAGGCAGACGGCAAAAUAACUGCCUCACGCUGAGAAUCCAGAAUCCUCCUUAACCUCUCUUCACUUACACCAAAUGCAGCUGCAAAUUGAGGUCCUCUCAUGCUCUGAAGUAUUGAAUUCUGACCCACCAAGAACUGUGGCAUGUUCUUCCUUCCUGUCGUUGUGAAUCCGAAGAACUCGAACGGCCCUGUUCUUGACGCAAUUUGACAGAAGGGGAAGUACCUUGGCACCCAGAACACGUCUCCUUCGUUUACUACAGCGUUCAUUGCAAGUGUCCCAUUUGGAUACACUAUCUGGAUGCUGCCACUUCCUCUCAACACUAUCCCAUACUCUGUUGCUGUUGGAUUAAUGUGUGGUGCCAUCAUAGCUCCCUACAUGAAAAAAAUGGUAGUACUAUGUAAAGACUGCUGUCUUGUAAGCUUAGUUUAGGAAUCCUAAAAAAAAAAAAUCAAGAUCCAUAAAUAUCGCCCCUAGGAUUAGAAGAAACUCACAAAGUAGCAUCUACGAUUUGAACUCGUGACCUGAAGCAAAGUUUUGAACCCUUAAACACUAUUUACCACUCGCUUCCAGUUCAUCCGUCGACUGUAUAAUUUUAUAAUUUUCAGAAGGGAAGAAUACAAUUGCAUUCCCUACAUGCAACUUAGCUUCCACCAUAGGUUAUAGUGGAUCAAGUUUAUCUAAUUGAUCACAAACUAUGGUGGAUGCUUAGUACAGACGUACAGUGGACAAAUUUCAGUGAUCACAGGCACUAUAGCGGAUAAAGUUUAGUUAUGAUACGUGGAACCAACAAUUCUAACCCUAUGAGAACAAUGAACAUGGAUCAAACAUCAUAUUUUUUAUAAGAAUGGUGUAUGGUGCAAGUGAGUUACCGCUGAAAGGUUGACGAGAUAGACGCCAAUGUCAGAGUGUUUCAAUGGAGAAUACUCCGUUCGAUCCAAGGCUAAGCUCCACCCGUAAUCGUUCUUGUAAUCUGGCUUCCUAUCGAACAGGUUGUAGGAAUCUGGACCUUUGCUGCUGCCUCUACGUCCUUCAUCGCCUUUCUUUCUUUUAUUUCCUUCAUGACCAAAAAGAUUAAUCAUGAACUUCCUCAAAGACCAUGUUGGCUGUUGCUCCCUUCCCUCAUCUUCUUCUUCUGAACUAGCUUCUUCCUCCAAAUGCACUACUCUCUUUAGGUGAUCAUGUCUCUGAUGCUGCUCAAGAUUCAAGAAAUUUGCCCAUAUGCUUGGUGUAGGAGACUGAGUAGUGUUCAGAGGUACAAUUGCACCGGAAAGUUGUCUUGUCAAGAUCUCACUCACUUCUUCUGAUGAUACCUGUCAUGUGUUAACAGAACUUGAAAUUAACUACUUCUAUUCCUUUGAUUACUUGAGGUUAAUAGAACCCACCAAAUCUUUGAAAUUAUGAGCUCAUAUCAAUAAUUCUUUCUAUUCUUAGUACAACGACAACACCAUAACCUGUGUAAUCCCAUAAGUUGGUUUGGGGAGGACAAUGUACCAGUCCUUACUCCUAUCCUAAAGGUCAUGUGACAGAAAAUUCGUUGCAUUUUAAAUGAAUUCUCAUUGGAACAGAAGUACUAAGUUCAGAUAAACACAAUACAGAUUAACAGUGAACUCUACACAUAAGUUUUCAUCACUUACAUUGAAUGCUGUUGAUAAGGUAAGAGUGUCGAAUCCACUCAGAAUAGACGUUGGAUAGAUUCCACCACCAAUGAAGAAAGACUGCAGAGAAAUUUGUUAAUUGUUACUCACAAAAUUCAACAGUCCAAAGAGAAUAUCUUUCAUCACAGAUCCAAUUGUUUAAACAAGAAAUCGCAAAAAUGUACCUGAAAACCAUACAAUCCUAAGUUGUUGGAGUUGCUAAUGCUGCAAAUGAUAUGAAGUCUUUGCCCUUCAGCUGGAUUAACCAAAUAAAAAGCAGAUCCUGCACGGAUGCUGUAUAUAUCGCCUUCCUUCAAUCGCCUUUCAGUAAAAUCAUCCUUGUAGAUAUGCCCAAUUCUUGUUUCCCCUGGCAAACUCAACAAACUCCAAAGUAAAUUCUCCAACGAAAUUUCUACUAAAUAAAAUCCAUUUUCAAGAACUAUAAGCCAUAUAAACUAAAAGUCUUAGCUCCGCCUUCCUUAAGAGGAAGAAUAAAAGUUUAUCAUUGUCAUAUUACAAGCACAUUACACGUUCCAAUAGUGAAAACAACCUAUUACUUAUUACAUAAAUGCAAGAUAACUUUGAGUAGGAUAAACCCAAUGUGGUCUGAUCCUUCUCAUACAGAAGGAGAUAUGUCUUGAGGGAUGGUUCAAUUUAAACCAUUAAUUUCUCAUUUAGACCAUAUACAUAUGUGAAACUCAUGAACAUUAGUGAAAAUUCAAUCAAAAUUUUAUCUCAUGCUUUCUUCCAAGAAUCUUUUAUAACUACACACUGGGGAUGGGGAAGUGAAACACAAGGGGCUCAGGGUGAACCUCGCAGUGAAAAUUCAGAUAGCCGACUAACUCUACUCCUAUAUAUUCACAAGUCAAUUGAAAAACCAACACUAAAUCUUGAAUUUGCCAGCUAAUGAGUACACAAUCCUGCUCCCUUUCUAAUUAUACAAGAACUAUAAGAACAAAUACAAGAAAAAGCUGAAAACUUCACCUCAUGUACUCCAAGAAUUCAAACCUGUGAAAAUUUAGAUGGCCAACUAACUCUGACCCCUGAUAAUUUCCCAAGAAAAUUGACAACCAACACUAAAUCUUGAACUUACCAGCUCAUGAGUAAACAAGAUGGCACCUUUUUUAUCAUACAAGAACUAUAAGAACAAAACAAAGAAAAUGGAUAAAAACUUUACCUCUACGAACAAAGAGUGUAAGCUGAGCAUUCAUAUACUGAGGGAUGAAAAGAGUAUUAGGUUCCAUGGUGAUAAAACCAAUAUGCAUUGGACUUUGAAAUAUAGAAACCCCACCACCACCAAAUCCACCUUUACUCACAACUCUCAUAACUCCAGCAUCAGUCCUCACUAUCUCCUUUGAAUCAUGCAACAAAAACAACCCUUCUCCCCAUUUUUCCUCUUCUUCCACUUCAUAAGAAGUACCAACAGAAACCACCACAAAUAACAGUAAGAUCAAAAGAAACUCUCUGUAACUUCCCAUUAUCAUCACUUAACAAAAAAAGAUUGUUUUUUUCUCUGCUUCUCAAAUGGUGUUGGAAAAUUGCAGGGGAUUUGAAAGAGUUUAUGUAGAAGAAAGAGAAGGACUUUAGUCGAACAGAUGGCGUGCAUGCAAGAUUUGAAGAAUUUGCUGGCAUAGCUUUGUUUUUUCUUCAACAUUUUUGUAAGCAAAAGUUUGGAAAUGUUGACACGAGUUUUCUAAGAUAUUGUACAAAUUGAGCUUUUGUCCAUUUACCACUAAAAAUUUAUAUAUAUAUUUAAUAAAAAAUUAAGAUUUAAAUUAAAAAAAAAAAGCUUUACAUUUAUACAUAUUCGUUAUCAAGCUACUAAGUCAUACUAUAAAAAUACGAGAAACAAAGAUGGAGAUGCGAUGGAUAGAAUAUGUGUAUUAUCAUAACUAAUUUGAUUUCAAAAAUGUAACACAAGUAGUACUUUAUUAUGAUCGAAAUUUUAAAAAUAUAUCUUAAUUAAAUUAAAAUAUUAUUAUUUUAAACUCAUUUUGUUUUAUAAUUAUAUAAAUCUUGUGGCUCACAUGACGUAAUCAGUAACUCCACUUUAUUAAAAUACGUUAGAGGUAUUUAAAUAUCACGUAAGCUAGUAAGCUAAUAAGGUGUAUAAACUAUAAAGUUUUUUUUUAAAAAAAAUUAGGUUCAAAGCUUUGGCUUUUGUUGAGAAAAAAGAAAACAAAAUAAAAAGGGAGAAAACAAAAUAAAUAAUUAAAUUAUAAAAACAUAUCCACAAAACAAAAUAAAAAUAAUAUAAAAGAAAAAGAAACACAAAGUUAAUAAUUAACCAUAUGCACUUUGUGGAUUAAUAUUAAUUAUUUACUAACCAUAAUAAAUUGAAAAAUUAUUAUUAUAAAAAAGACAGUAAUUAUUUUUAAGUAGUUAAUCCUAUGUGUGAAUAAUUAUUUUCCAUCACUUUUAUUAUUCUUGUCUGCGAGUUUUUUUUUUUAAUUUAUUCCAAAAAAAAAAAGUUCUUACCUUGUAGCCGCCGCAACUCUUCACUAAGUCCAUUGAAGCUGUUCUGUGUUUGUUCAAGAAAAUAGUUUCUCUUGAUAAAGAUUUAACCUUUUGGGGUUUAAGCUAAAACCCUUUGCUUCAAUUUCUCCAAUAAACAGAAUGGGAAAGAAAUCAGGGAAGUUCAAGAAGAAGGAAAACAACUCUUCAAAGAAAUCAAAAAGUGAUUUUUACAAUGAAGAUGAUGAUAUGAUGAAUGAUGCUAUUGAUGUCUGUAAGUUUUUCCCUUUUAUAAACUUUAUGUACUAGCAAAGUUAGCAUAAGAUACAAAAAUUUCAGACCCCAUUUGUGGGAUUAUACUUAGUAUGUUGUUGUUGUAGCAUUAGAUACAAGAAUAUAUAUGCAAAAAGGGUUCUUUAUAGAGAGAAAUUUACUUUUUUUUGAGUUCUUGGAUGGAGGGAGAGCAUUAUAGCAAUGAUUGAGCUGGUAUUUUGAGUUUUUAUGGAUUCUAAAUUUUUAAAUGCUUACUUGGUUGUUGAUACAUUGUUAUACAUAUUAAGUGGUGUUUUAAAUACAAAUAGGCGGUUUGAGCCAAACCUAUUGGUUCUGCUGAACCCAUAGGCAAAGCUAUAGCUCCGUGAGGGUGAUGGCUAGGGGCGAGGACCAGCACGUGCACAAGAGAGAGAGAGUGUUAGAAAAAAUUGCUUGUUUAUGUUAAAGAUUUUAUCUGUUUUGGUUGAUUGUAGUUCAUGAAAAGAGAGAUAUCAUUCCACUGAAUGUUAAUGAAGAUUCUGCAGAGUCGGAUGAGGAUAAUGAGCAUCCCGUGUAUGAUCUUAAGGUGAUAUUGGUUUUUCUUUUGCAACUUUUAUCUUCAUACUGAAGGCUUAUAAAAUGUAUUAAGAGAUUAGAGUUCUAAUUUGAUGUGAAGCAAGUCAACUAAUUACUCAAGGUUGGGGAACUGUUUCAAUUGUAUAGGAGGAUGAAGAUGAGGAGGAUGAAGAUGACGACUUUGAUGAUGCUGAACUUACUGGCCUUGGUGCUAAAAGUAUGCAAUUAAAUUCAAACUAUUCAAACUUGUAACUGCCUGUUGUUAUCUAAAUGUAAUACUUUAGCUGAAUUGCCUAUCCUGUUUGUUUGUUAUGAAAUUCUUCUCUGAUAUUCCCUUUUAGUGCUUCUUAAGGCAACAUAGAGCAUAAGAUUGGUUUAUAUUUUUUUAAGGAGUUUCCUCUCUCUCUCUCAAAAAAAAGAAAAGAAACAGAUGAGAAAUAUAGCAGCUUUUACUAUUUUAACUUCUCAUUAAGAUUUUGCAAAUGCAUGUGGGGUGGUGGUGAGAAGAAUUCCCAGUGUUUUAUUAUUGAAUUGAGGCUAAUUAGGCUGGAGACUAAAUAUUAAUGGUGUGUUCGAACUGUGUAAUAUUGCACGAAGCUCAGUAGGUCUAACCACUAAGUUACUAUUUCUACUGUGGCUCCUGGUUUUUGAGUUUCUCUGAACUGAGCUUCUACACAUAGACGGCAGAAGGAAGACUCGUUUCAUACUCGUAUAUAUAUUUUUUUUUAAUAAAACAUUUCAUACUCGUAUAUUUGUUGAAAUAAUAAGGUAAUUUGUUUCCUUCCAAUUCUGGCUUGUACAUUUCUUUUGGUUCUUGAUCUUUUACUAUAUGCCCCUUUUUGGCCGUAUUACCUUGGAUCUUCUGCUUGGGGCGGUCUUUUAAUGUAUAAUUUUUGAGUACCAUUUUUGCUUUAGUUGCAAGGACACAGAAAUAUCUACAAGCUACAAUGGGUGGGGUUGAGGAUGAAAUGCAUGAUGAAGCUGAGCAGGAGAAAGAAGAGGCGUCUCUGUGGGGAAGAGCAAAGAAAAGUUAUUAUCAAAAUAAAGAGGUAGCAUUUCACCUAAUUAUUUGCUUAAUUUUUGUUCUUUUAUGACAUAAUUAUAUACAGUACGCUUGGAGAAGCCAAUACUUUACUGGCUUUAAAAACAAACAAUGUGAUUCCAGAGGAUUAUCCUGUCCUUACUGUUUCAACAGUACCUGUAUGCUGUAACAUAGUUCUUCAAUCAUGUCGUCAUUUGCAUCCAAUACUUGACGUCGCUUGAACACUUUUGUUUGUUAGAAUGUUGAAGAGUCAAGUGAUGAGGACCUUAUCGCCGAGGAGGAGGCAGAGGUAUUGAGAAUGCAGCAGAAAAAAGCUAAAUCCUUAUCUGCAGCAGAUUUUGGUAUUGAAGAUGAUGAACUCACAUUUGAGGUGAGAAAUUCAAUUUUCAUACAGUGUUUAUUCGAUGGGUUUUUCUUAUAUUUUGAGGUUGGAAGUGGAAUCUUAUGGGCAACAUUGCAGGAAAUUUUGGUCCAAGGAAAACCUGGAUCAGCAGUUUCUGCAGAUGAAGAAGCUAAAAAUGAAACUGUUACUGCUUAUGAGGAAGUGCAGAAGGAUUUGAAUGCUUUGACAAAAGAAGAGCAAAUGGAUGUUGUCUAUAGGUGAGGUUCUCUGUCCUGCAUAUACUAGUUUCAUGGCAAAAUGUUGCUUCUUUUAAGUCCAAUUGCCUGUCAUGGUCGACGAUGUUAUGUAAUGUCACCAAGCAUCAUGAUAAUAUCAGUAUAGGGAAAGGGAGUCACACAAGUUUAAAUUAAAUAGAUAUCAGUACAUUCUCAAUAAUCGGGAAAACAAAAUAGAAGAGAAAAAAGCAGGUGAUGAACUAAGUUUUCCUACAGAAUAGUAUAUGCUUAAUUUUAUGGCUAAAGGUUAGUCCCACAAGUGGCGUCUGGGGAGGGUAGGAUGUACGCCGACCUCACCCCUCCUACCUUUGUUGUGGAAGUUUGACAACAGAACAAAACUCUAUGUGUUGCUCAGUUCAGACUCCAAUAUGACAAUGAUAUUUGAGGACCCAUUCCUGCAAUAUCCUCUGACUAUUUAAAAAUGGAUCAUGGUAUGGUAGAGGGGCGGGCCUAUUAUCCAGUGAGUUUAGAAGGCUGUGAUUGGUCCAAAGGGCGGGUCACAGACGGAUUUCUCGGUUAUAGAAAAAUAGAUCAUGGUAUGUUUAGUGUCAGAGGUUUCAGUAGGAAGUUCCAAUAAUUGGCAGCUGUCCCUGUUAGAUGUCUGAUCUGCAUGGAGAUAGAAGACUUCAGGAUAUUGAAUACCAUGCUAAGCAGAGAAUCUUACUGAUGUAGAUAAGGAAAUUGGAUCUCAGUGACACAUUUCUGAUAAUGCAUUGUGGGGGACUGAUGAUCAUGCAAUAAAAGAAAGCCAGAAGGUGCAUGCCUUGUGUCACAUUUUUAUCAAUGGCUUCACAUUAAUUAUGAGGAAGUAAUUCUAUUUCUAGGAAGUACAAUUUAGUCUUGCGGCAAAGUGGCAGGUCAAGAGUGCAAUGCCAGAAGAUCUUGAGAAGUGGGCCACUGAAUGUUAGUAACCACUGCAUCUAUUUUCUUAAAUGUGCCUCACUAGCUUUUAUUUGUAUUUAGAUCACGUAGAACAAGGAGAAAAGUGGCUUGUGGGUCGUAAUUGAGUCACAAGAUCAAGAUGUUGAAUAUUCAAGGGUAGUUAACUGAGGUUCAAACCCCAACAAAGGCAAAAACACUAUGUAAUUUGAUUUCUUCUCAUCUGUCUUGGGGGGACUGGGUUACCCAAUACCUAUGUUGGCAGGAGGUAGCAUGUACCCCUUGAAAUUUCCUGGACACCAUGGUUAUUAAAAAUAGUAGUCAAAGGUAGCUAGCUAUACAAAGGUAUGGGAGUCAGGGAGCUACUUCAGAGGGUCAACAAGGGAGAAUGAAAUGGAGCUUCACAAGAUUUGAGGAUUCACUUUGGAGUUCAGUCCAUGAUAUAGAUGAGAUUACCAAAUAUAUAGUUAUCCCCUGGACGAGAUCUCUGUAUAUGUAGUUAGCCUCCUGUCCGAAUUUAUUGUACAUGAUCAGAAAUGUUCAGUUGAGAUGUCAGUCUGUCACGGCGCAGUGGCCUUCGUUUAUGGAAUUCUACAUUGCAUGCUUGUGAUUAAUUCAAAUAAAAAAUAAGAAUCUUCGAUGUGUGUCUGCUUCUACUGUCCUUAGCUAGAUAUAUCUGGUAAGUUGCGAACAUUUACUUUUGCAGGUUAUAUGAUGCUUCUAACUCGAAGUUAUGCUUCUGAUCUAUGAUCUUCUUGUGGUUACAGUUCUGCACCUGAAUUGGUUGGUUUGCUGUCUGAGCUUGGUGAAGCGCAUGAGCAGCUCGAUAACAAAGUUAAUCCCCUAUUCAACAAGGUAUGUGCGUUGGAAAUUUCACUAACUACAGGCAGUUACUAUUAUGCUAUUCAAAUCUGAGGGUGCUGUGGAAGAUACUUGUCUAACUGCUUCUCGGUUCUCGCCAAAUGCCAAAUUUUGUUUACCUUGUGAAAUCCACACCUACAUUUUAGACCUGCUUUCUGUGGUUCCCUUUAAACAGUUUUGGGGUUCUUUGGUGACAAUCUUUGUAGUUAGUAACUCGGGCUAUGUUAGCGAUAUAAAGAUUCUCAGCUGAAAGGUUGAAAUAGUGAAGGUUUAGAAAUGAUUGCUUAGGGUAGUAUAACUGACAAGUAUAGUUAAAAUAGUGAGUAUUGAUUCAUAUAACAAUGCAAUUAGUCAUUCUCCUAGUUAGAAACUGAAUGCAGUUUUUGGUAAUAUUACACCUGUCAGCAUUUAACUUCCAUUUUUCUCUAUAAAGAUUGAUGGAAAGAAUAUGAUAAAAGGUGGGAUGCACUACAUUGAGGUGAAGAAGCUGCUGCUGCUGUCAUAUUGUCAAGCUAUAACUUUCUACCUUCUUCUCAAAUCUGAGGGGCAGCCAGUUCGUGAUCAUCCAGUCAUUUCACGCCUUGUGGAGAUCAAGAAUCUGUUGAAUAAGGUUACAACUCUUAUCAUAGGAUUCAAAUAACUAAACUUGACCAAAUUACUGCUUGCCAGUUUUUGUUAAUUCUGUUAACGAAGAUAUUAUUUGCUGAAAGAUCAGUCACUUGAUUAUAUGGUAUAUGCAUAAUUUAUGAGAUAAGACUG
rnacentral:lncRNA from 1 species